GAAUGGGCAUUGAGGGGCUGCAGUGAGGUAUACCUUCCUUCCACGCUUGCUGAAACCCGAUAAGGCUCGAGCAAGGUUAUCCCAGUACUGGGUCGAACCGAGCUCGAUGUCGAAGUCUACGCCAUCUAAUACUGCAUCACCUAAUGGCCGAGACGAUGAUUUUCCUCCCAAGAAGUUGUUCCACAGAUAAUUGGCAACUUUUUGGGCAUCAUAGGAAGAGGACAGAGAGUAAUUUCCAACCCCACCACCUAUAGAGAGCAUGACCUUAGUGCCUCGAUUUUGGCAGUUUCUUAUGCCGUUACUGACGGAGGUGCAGCCAUUGGAAGCAGAGUUGCAAUGGCCUGCAAGGUUGAUUGCAGGGGUCCGGCCAUUGCCGAACUUGUUGAGGAAGGCUAUGUUAACGUAGGAGUAUUUGCCGGUGUUGCAGGUUUGAGUUAGGGUCCCUUCAUUGCCGUUUUGGCCCCAGUAGAUGGCGAUGCCACCGGCAUAAGAGGUCUGGAGGAAAGCUAGGACUGAGAGGGAGAUGAGCAGAGGUAUGGAUUGAGGGGUUCUAGCCAUUCUUGAAAGAGCUGGUGUGGCCUGUGCUUGAUUAAUGUGUGUGGGGGUGAGUCCUUUUUAUAGAGUUCUAGAGUUGAAGGUCGUGACUCCCAAACUUUAACCGAGUCAUGUCUUUUCUCGUUGGCUCUAUAAAUAUUAACAAAUAAUAAGAUUGAGAGAAGCUUCAAGACGAUAUUAAAAUGUUAUGAUAAUUGAGAUGGGCUUCUAGAGACAGAUAAAUGGAAUGGAGGAAGAGUGGGAGACAACCAACAUAGGAUACAAGAUAAAUAUUAACAAAUUACGGGAUUGAGAUAAGCUAGUAAAGAAGAUAUUAAAAUGUUAUGAUAGUGAGAUGAGCUUUCAGAGAUAGAUAAAUGUCGAUGGAGGAGUGGGAGACAAUCAACGUAGGCUAGAAGUUUCCCUUGAAUGUUGGACAUUUUCAGGACCUCACCAGUCUUUUGGCACGAGUCGAACUCCAUAAAAAACUCGAAAAUCCAUUAGCCGUUUGAUAAUAUUUUUACUUCAAGUGGUUUUAAUAAAAAUAUUUUCCUUUAAAGUGUAUUUAUUAGAAUCAUCUAAAUAUUUAUUAAAAAAAACUAUAUUUUUUAAAAUUUUAAAAAUAUUUCUUAAAUUUUAUCCAACACCUAAUAAUGUUUUUUUUAGAAACAUUUUUUAAGGUAAAAAGGCUUCCUAUUUUUUGGCAAAUGUACUCAAGUUUUGUCACAUACGUGUAACUUUCUCAUCUUAUAGUCAAAGGAAUCCAGUUGAGUGCUUGAGAGACUUGGUUGAGCUGGGUGAAGCUGGUAGCUGGUUCCAUUGAAGUCGUCUCCACCGAGCCUUCAAUGCCACUGAAAAUGUGAGGAGUGGCAACUGGUGGGGCGCUUAUCUCUUGACUCUUGUCUUUCCCUAGUCUGAAGGAAACAUGAUUUGUUUAAGAAGAUAAGCAAAGCGAUUUGGUUGAUUGGGAGUCAAUGAUUCUGCUAAACUUCACAUAUAUGUGAAAGAAAGAUGACAAAGACAGGGCCUAGUUACUUGCCGGCCGGAUGCAAGGCAGUCAGCAAAGAGCACCAAAGACAGUUUACUGACGAUAAUGGCAUCAUAGUUCAAAUGGUUUCGAUUUUCAAUAAAUGAAAUGUAACAACCCUGUACAUGAGAUAGCUUUUACGUUCUAAAAAUACAUUUAUAUAGUUUCACAAUAACACCAUGAUAUCGUGUUUAGUAAGAUUGCAAGACCAUUUGGACAAACACCCACUAUAGGAUGGAUCGACUUUAAUAUAAUUUAUAAUGACCCUUACGGGAUGAAUUGACUCUGAUAUAAUUUAUAAUGAUCCAUUUUUUCAUAUGGAGUAGACAAAUUAUAUAGAAAAAAGAGCAAGUCAUUACACGAAAUGCUUAAAACCCGAGAACAGUUGUGUUAAUGGGGUUAAAUCCAAACAACAAACAUAUAGCAAAAGAGCUUUUAUGGUAGCAUAUAAAUAAAUGAAAGAAGAACCUGUUUAACUUGAUUUUCUUAGUAGAUAUGCUAGCAUAAUUUUUAUUAGAUCGAGGAAGAAGAAAACAAAAUUUCUAUAUAUAUGUAUUAUUUUGGGGCUCUUUUUUUCUUUCAUUCUAGUGGUUUGUAACGAUAUGAGUCCAUACUGUGUGCAGGGGAUCACCACCGCCACCGCCACCGCCACCGCCACCGCCACCGCCCAUAUAAUGUUUGUUGUUUGGAGAUAAAAAAAAAAAAGCCCGAACUGACUUAACCAUCGGAGGAGGAUAACUCGGGGCGACAUUGGGUAAGCCUUGAUUUGCAGAUAAAAACGUGCGGCAAGUAGAGGACUGCAGUUUGGGAAAUUCAGCUCCAACAUCCCAUACCAUCAAUUAGUUAUAUAUGAAUUUGUUUGGCUCAAAUUAUGGAAAAAAAAAAUUAUUUUAUUUCGUAGGCUAAUAAUGUAGAUGGUGAUGGACUCUUAAAAUAAUUAUUUAAUAAAAAAAUAAAAUUUAAAAAUAUUCUGAAACAUCUUCACAAUCAUCAAUGGUGGCAGAUGUUUUGUGAACCAACACAUGACUUUAAAUAUUGCUGACUCAGAUAAGGUUAAAAUAAUUUUUGGAUGCCAACAUUUUAUUUUUUAGAAAAUAGAUUUUUAUUUUUUAUUUAUUUUUUAUACUUUUUAAAUAUAUAGGGAUAGAAAUUAAUAUAUUUCAAAUAACUUUGGGGUUAAUCUAGGAAUGAUCUCGAUAAACAUUUUUUUAAUGUAUAAUAAUUUUUAUUAUAAUUUUUUUUUAUAGAAAAAUAGUUAGUGUUUCAUGGCAUAAAAAAAAAGAUUUUAAGAAUAUUUUUUAUAUUAUGUUGCAUAAAAGAAAAAUAAUUUUGGAAGAAACAUCAUUGAGUUAAUUCAAAAAUUACUCUUAGUGAUUAUUUGAAUUUUUAGAAGCAAUUUCUAAAAUAUUGCCUAACAUCUAAUUAUUGUAAGAAAAAAAAUUUUCAGACAUUAAAAAAUAUUUUUAAACUUGUGAUAUCUUGAACGGGUUAAUAACGGUUGGAGUUGGAUUUGGGUACUCAAGUAGGCUUUCCUAACCCAAUCUAACAAAUAAAGAGAUGAGGAGUUUCUCUCACUCUCUCCAAAACAAAAAAAUACCAGUAAAAAAACUCUCUUUAUAAUUUCAUCUUCUUUUUUUUUCUCCAUAAAAGAAGAUUAAAGCAUUUAUGAUGUGAAAUAGAGUGCUUUUAAAAUUUUUGUAAUUUCAUUCAUGACUUGGGGUAGAGAAUUCAUAGGUGAAACAAUAAAUUUAGAUUUGAGGACUUUAGAAGAUAAUUCGAUGCCUUUUUUUUUUUGACAAUAAAUUUUUCAUAUUUUUUCAAUAAAAAGUUUGAAAAAUAUAUAAAAUUUUAAAUAAAUUUUAUUAUAUUUAAUUUUCUCCAUAUUUUUAUAAUAAAUCAAAUAGAAGAACUUAAAUUACUUCUAACUUAUUUUUUGCAUUAGGUUUUGACCAUAUCAUAUGUGUUGGUGCAUGACCAACAAGGAGGUAUCCAACUAGUCUUUGUGUGGUGUAGACGACUUUUUGAACGGAAUGUCCAAAUGGGUUUUCGGAAUAAACCCCUUUGAAGCUUAAGUCAAAGAUAGAAGACUUGAGUAAGAGAUUUUUGGAAAAAGUUACAACAUAUCUUUCCUGUUAUGAAAAAUGAUUAUUUAUCAUUACUCAAAUGUAACAUCUUCUCAGGUGUCUUAAUUGUGUCUUUGACUAUGCGUUGAUGAGCUUUAAUACUUGACAUUUUAUUCUAAUAACAGUUGUGUCAAUCAAUACAUAAUGCAUUUAAUGCUUGUUACAGUUAAUGCUUGACAGACAAGAAUGCAUGGUACCUAACUGUUUGUAUCCGUUUGUACCUUGGGAUGAACGGAUAAUACCACAUGACUUUUGUGUUGAACAUGCCUUGCGUUAGAUGACACUUGGGGAUCAUGCUAGACGAUAAUAAGCGUUUCACAACACUUACAAUGUGAAAAACCCAUGAGUUCAUAAUAGCACAUGAUGCUCUUGUGGUUCAAACCUAUAACCAUGGUUCCAACUCAUGAGUCUAACUUAUGAUACUAAUUUUUGAAUCAAAUCAAGAUAUGCUAAGUCAAUUAUGAUAUUCAACCAUCAUUAUUUGAAUGAUCCAUUUCUAAGCUUAAGAGUGGUAUUAUUAUAACACAAUAAUGUUUUUUUUUAAAUACAUUAUAUGACACAAAUAGAAUAUUAGAUGAUCAAAAUCCAAUCUAAAAUUUUAGCAAAUUUACCACGGAGUAAAAAAGUGACUAGAAAUGGAAAAACAAUCUUAAUAACUAUGAUUAAACACUUGGAUGCAAACAAAUAAAAUAAGGAGAUGGAUGAUGAUUAUUACAAAAAGUUGGUAGAAAAUCACACCUUGUGCACUUAAUCCUCUAAUGGAUAUCAAAUAUAAUAAAAAGUGAGUUUCCUAAAAAGUUGUAUGAUUUUACACCUACUUGAGAAAAUUUGGGUGUUGUUUAGUAUUUUGGAGGUAACAUUUCUUUUUCAUCUUUUAUUUUUUAAUUCUUUAUGAUUUAUCUUGGCUAUUUGUGAUUGGUUAAUAAUUAGUGAACUAAAAGGAAAAUUUUUUCCUUCCAUAGUUUUUUUUAGCCUUUUUGAUGUGACGUAAUUAUUACUAUUUAGAAAUGGUUCCACAUAACACAUAAUAAUAAUAAUAAUAAAAAUAUUAUUAUUAUUGUUUUAUUAUUAAACUCAAUUAAAAAUAAAUUAUUAUUAUAUAAAAUUUUAAUUUUUUAUAAUGGAUGAACUUUUUAUGAUUAAGCUAUUAGAACUCUAUGAGAUCAAUAACAAACACUACUAUAUGUGCUAGUUGUUAUGAAAUAUUGUUUUCUUUAAUAGUUUUCAUUUAUAAAAUACUUAUUAAAAAGUGGACAUUGAUCCUUUUUAUCGGUGGAGGUAAGUGGACAUGGCAUCAUUCCUUUUGGAAGUGGUUUUUGACUUUUUAUAGCACGUGGCCAUAAAAAAAUAUUUUUAAAAUGAAGAGGAUAUGAUUUAAAAAUAUAGGAGAAUCAUUCCAACAGCUGGGUCAAAUCUUCUCACUUUAGAUAUUAUUGUUACGGUAUUUGAGACUGUCGGUGGUGCCGUCGGCGGGCGACGGAUGCCGGACAGGGGAUGUGGCCCGACGGAGAUCGGAGCCGAUGAUGGAAACGAGGAAGAAGACGACUGUGUGGUGGUUCUCACUUCUCAUGGGUAUCUCCAGUGGGAAGAAGGCUUGUUGAGGGCUUCCAAAUGGUAAAAAAAUUAAAAAAAUGGCGGCAGAAAUUUUGGUGCGGGUUAGUGAUAUUUCUAAGAUUUUUUUUUUAAUAAUUUAAUUUUUGUCACUUCGGAUAAAAAAAACAAUAAUAAUUUUUAUAUAAAGUUAAAAGACUUGAUUAUAAAAAACAUUUUAUUUUAUUAAUUUUUUCAAAAUUUAAAGUGAUUUUUAAAAACAUAAAUAAGUUUAUAUUUUUUAUAUAACAGUUUCCGUUUUUAAUAUAAAAAUUGUAACUAAUUUUUAUUUUGAAAAACGAAAAACAAAAAGUGUCAAAACAAUAUCUUAUGAGGAUAAUUUUCUAUUUUUUGUUUUGAGUGAAGUCUUAAAUCCUAUUUGGUAAUUAUUUUGAAAACAAUUUUAAAAAAUAAUUUUUGAGAACUAAUAUUUUAUAAGAAGUCUUUGAGAAGUUGAAAUAUUUUUAAUCUAUUUUAAUAUUUUUAAAUAUAUUUUAAAAAUAAUUUUUAUGUUUAAAGUUUUAUUUUAAGUCAUUAUGCAUAUUUGUACAAUUAUUUUUUAAAACAAUUUAAAAAAUGAAAAUAAUUAAAAAUAAUUAAAAGAUGUUAUUUGAAAACACCCCAUUUUAUCUUCUUAAGAGCAAAAAAUAGAAAAUAAUUUUUUAAUAGUCAAAUAUAUUUUUUAAUUUUUUAUUAUUUUAAAAAAUAAAAUAUUGAAAUCGAAAAUAGUUGCCAAACAUACCUUUCAAUUUUAAAAUUAUUGAAAAUAAUUUUUCUGGAUAUAAUUAUUUUUAAUUUUUAACAAAAAACCGAAAGUUUAUCCAAAUGAUUUUGUUUUUCCAAUUUUAUAAUAAACAAUCAAAUAAAAAAACAUUAAAUUUUUCCUUACCAAUUUCUUUGCCUUGAACUAUUUAGAACCAAGCAUAACCUAUUCUAAACCCAGAUUUGUCCUGCCCCGAUGCAAUAUAAGCCCAUUUGUUACUAGCUCGAUUUAGGCAUGGCCCAUUAUCAGUCCUUAACCCAGCGCAGGCCCCAAUGUAGACUAGUUCCCUGUUGGGCCAAUAUGAUUUGGCCACUCUUUUUCUUAGCCCAUGUUCUUUCAAGUCCAUUAUUAUUUUUAUGUUUACUUUAUUUUUAUUUUUUGAUUUUAAUUUAAUUUUUAUUAUAUUUUUUACCUUUAUUUUAGUCUUAUUGUAAUGUUUUGUGGUGACUAUGAUAUGAUUUUAUUUAUUUAUUUUGGAUAUAUUAUUAAUAUGGAUGACAAUGAGAUGGAUUCAGGAUGGAUCACCUCUGUCCCAAUCUUGUUCUAUUUAUUCAAAAUAAUUAUCAUCUUUGUCCCAUUAAAAAAAAAUUAAACGGGGUGAGAUAGGGUAGAUAUGCAAAUUUCUCAUACCCAUCCCAUCCUAUUUUGUUUAAUUUUUUUUGAAAGACUUUUCUUUAAAAAAAACAUUUGAAAAUUUUUAAUUAUAUUAAAGUAAAUAUGUUUUAUAAAUAAUUAAAAUAUUAUAAUUUUUUUUAUUGAAAAGUAAUUUAUUAUUAUUAUUAUAUAUGUUAAAAAUUAAAAAUUGUUGAAAUUAUUUUUCAUAAUUAAUUUUAUAUAUAAUUGGGGUGAGAAUGAAGUAGGACAAUAUAAUAUUUAAAUCUACCCCAAGUUUUUAAAAAACCUUAUAUCUGCUCUUAAUCUGUUUAUUUAAAUUUUGAACUCACUCAUUAGAGACAAGAAAUACUUGGAAAAACUGUUCCAUUUCUACCUUAAUUAUAAAGCUUGUGGACAAUUUUGAAAACAUUUGAAAACAUAUGACUCAUGUUUUCAAAUGCCAUUUGAAUGCUAACUUCACAUUGUCACAUGAAUGUAUAUUUGGAGGCAUGGAUGAUUUUGGAUGGAUCUGGGAACGACGUACCUCUAGUUAUAGUGGUAAUAUAAUUAGGGGUGACAGAAUUUGUUACGAUAUGUUAAUAUAAUUCAAACUUAACAUAUAUUUCAUGAGUUUAGAUAAAAUACACUCAAAUUUGAAUCAAUUUAUAUAACUUAUUUAAUAAAUAAUUAGUUUUUGAAUCAAUAUGCAUAACAUAAAUAUAAUUUGAAUGAACCUAAUUAAUAAUCUUACUAAUUAACUUUAAAUUAUUUAAUUUAUAUUUAACUCAUUUUAAAUAAAUAGAUUAAUUAUGAAGUUAAAACGUUAAUGAUAUAGAUUUAUACAGGACUAUAUGAGAAUGAGAGAGGUGAGGGGGGAAGUCGUCGGAAGUGGCUGCCGCCGGUGGCGGCCACCGGCUGGCAGUGGUGGUGGCCGCAAGUGAAAGUGAGGGUGGAUGGGUGUGGAAAAGAAAAAGGGGAAGAAAGAAAGAAAAGAAUAAAAAAAAACUGGUAAAAAAGAAAAGGGAGAAAGAGAAGAAGGAGGAGAGAGAGAGCGAAUGGGGACGGCUGGAGAUGGGUUUUGGGUGAUAGGCAUAGGCGGAGAGAACUGAGAAGAGGGAAAAAGAAAAGAAAAGAGAAGAGAGAAAAAGGAAAAGGGGAGAAGAGAAAAAAAGGGGGGACGUGGGAACGGGGCCAGAGUCGGAUUUGAAUGAAUGAAAUAAAAAAAAAAAGAAAAAAAAAAAAGGAAAAAACAAGAAAAAGAAAAAAAAUUAAAAAAACAAAAAAAGAUAAAAUAAAUAAUAAUAAAAUAAAAAGUGAGAAUAAUUUGAAAUAAAUUUUGGGAUUUACAAUCAUUUUAACAAAUUUAUUUAUUUAUAUAUUUAUGUAAAUGAAAUUAGAAUAUCACUAUCUAACUUGUCCAUUUACCAAGUUCAUCAUGCUUUCUAGAUUAAUACAUGUAUAUUAUAUACUAUUAUGAUAUGGUAUCCAUUAGUUAAUUAAUAAAUUAUUUGUUUUUUUGUCAACAUAUUAAUAUAGAUCGAGAUUAGUUUGGGCUUAGUAAUAGCUUGACCAUGGACUGAGUUAUGAUUUUAAUUUUAUUAUUUUAUUUUUAAAAAUUUAAAAAUAAGAUAAAUAAUAAGCCUCCAUGUUUUUCUAAAAAAUAAAAUAAAAGAACCUUUUAAGGGUAUGUUUGGUAUAUGAAAGUUCAAAGAAAAAAAGAGAAACUUUUAAAAUAUAUAUAUAUAUUUAAGAAAAAAAUAUAAUAUUUUUAUUUACUUAUACAAAAUAUAAUAAAUAAUGUUGUUUUUAGGGUGUUAAGAGAAUGUUAUUAAUUAAACCUAAAUUCUAUAAAUUUAAACUUUCCAAAAAUUCUUUUGUUCUAUAACUCUUGUACCUAAACUUUUAGGAAGAUUAAGAAAAUUUUAAAAAUAAUUUUGAAGUACAUGGGUUAAAUCUAUAGUUUUUAAUACAAGAGUAAAUAUAUAAAAUAUUAUUAUGAUUUUAUAUUUGUAAAGAAAAUAAGUGAGACUAAUUGGCAUCCAUUGAAAAUCAUUGGCCCAUUUUAGGUUUGAAACUCCGAGCCUUCUUAGUCCCGCACCCGGCACCGCUCAGGCACCACUAGAGCGAAAUUGAUAUUUAAAAGGAAAGAGAAGGUCAACUCUUUAUAAUUCUUCAUACUAUAUUCUCCAUAAUAUUCUCUUUCACUUUAUCCAUACAUUCAUCGAGGAUGAAAGCUUAUUCAAUAUAUUAUUACAACUGAUAUAGAUAGACUAACACCCAGUUCACACACUGCUCUUAAUGGAAGAGCUGUAUCCACUCUGAUCAUCAUAGUACUUUGACCACAGCAUCACGCCUCCAUACUUGGCUGAUCUCUUAAUGACCGGAAGAAUUUGAGAGGUCAACACAUUGGCCGGAAUAAACCCACUUCCGGCAGCUGCAGAGGAUGCCGGCAGGCCCAUGAAGAUCCGUGAAUUUAUCGAUGAAGUCCACCGGUUCCAUGAAUUCAGAAGGUUAUUGGUGUUGCCAGAAGAAUACUGGCAUGGGGCAUUGUUAUAGAAUUGCACCCAGACAUAGUCAAAAAGGCCUGUGUUAAGGGCAGUGCCCAGGAACUUAUCUGGGAAUGGACAUUGAGGGGCUGCAGUGAGGUAUACCUUCCUUCCACGCUUGCUGAAACCUGAUAAGGCUCGAGCAAGGUCAUCCCAGUGCAGGGUCGAACCGAGCUCGAUGUCGAAGUCUAUGCCAUCUAAUACUGCAUCACCUAAUGGCCGAGACGAUGAUUGUCCUCCCAAGAAGUUGUUCCACAGAUAAUUGGCUACGUUUUGGGCAUCAUUGGAAGAGGACAGAGAGUAACUUCCAACCCCACCACCUAUAGAGAGCAUGACCUUAAUGCCUCGAUUUUGGCAGUUUCUUAUGCCGGUACUGACGGAGGUGCAGCCAUUGGAAGCAGGGUUGCAAUGGCCAGCAAGGUUGAUUUCAGGGGUCUGGCCAUUACCGAACUUGUUGAGGAAGGCUAUGUUAACGUAGGAGUAUUUUCCGGUGUUGCAGGUUUGGGUUAGGGUCCCUUCAUUGCCGUUUUGGCCCCAGUAGAUGGCGAUGCCACCAGCAUAAGAGGUCUGGAGGAGGGCUAGGACUGAGAGGGAGAUGAGCAGAGGUGUGGAUUGGGGGGUUCUAGCCAUUCUUGCAGGAGGCUGUCUGGCCUGUGCUUGAAUAACGUGUAUGUGGGGGUGCGUCCUUUUUAUAGAGUUUUAGAGCAGGGGCUCGUGACUCGCAAACUUUGACUGAGUCAUGUAUUUUUUCGUAUAGGUCUAUAAAUAUUAACAAAUUACGGGAUUGAGAUAAGCUUGUAAAGAAGAUAUUAAAAUGUGUAUGAUAGUGAGAUGAGCUUUCAGAGAUAGAAAAAUGGAGAUGGAGGAGGAGUGGGAGACAAUCAACAUAGGAUGCAAGUCUGUAUCCUGGAAGUUUCCCUAGAAUGCUGGCCAUUAUCAUCACCUCACAUUUCUUUUGGAAUGAUUCUAACGUGCGUGACUUUAGUUCAAAUGACUUUUUGUAAAAAGAAGUGUAUUUGAUAAUGAUUUUAAAAAAUAUUUUAAAAAUUUUUAAUCUUUAAAUGAUAAAUUUUGUUAAGUAUUAAAAGGGUUAGAAGCACUUUAUAAAAUCACUGCAGAACGAACGAACUCUAAAUUGUAAAAAUAUUUUUAGCAUAUUCAUUUAUUAAGUGUUUCUUUGUACACGGGUGAGUUUGACAAUAUUUUUACAUUAAGCGUUUUUGAUAGAAGUGUUUUAUUUGAAAGUGUUUUUAAAAGAAUAAUUUAUUUAAAAAACAUUUUUAAUAUUUCUAAUACUUAAAAAUCAAAUUUUUAACUAUUAAAAAAAUUAAACAUACUUUUAGAAUCAUUAUCAAACCACUUUUAAUUAUAGUGCAUCUAACAAUCAUUUAAAGAAUUAUUUUUAGUUUUUUUAAUUUUAAAAAUAAAAUUUUUUAAGUGUUAAAAAUAUUCAAAACAUUUUUAAAAAUCAUUAUUAAACACAAUUUUAGUAAUUUCUCAAUACUACAUUAUUUUUCAUAUUUUUAAAAAUAUUUUCUAAAUUCCUUUAAACACUUAAUGUUUUUUUUUUAAACAAUUUAGACUAAAACUACCUUCUAGAUAAGUUUUGUCACUUACCUGUGACUUUUUCAUCUUACAGUCAAAGGAAUCAAGUUGAGCAGGGUUGAAGCAGGCUGCUGGUUCCAUUGAAGUCGUCUCCACCGAGCUUUUAAUGCCUCUGAAAAUGUCAAAAGUUGCAACUGGUGCGGGGCCUAUCUCGACUCUGCUUUUCCCUUGUCUGAAGGAAACAUGAUUUGUUUAAGAAGAUAUGAAAAUUGAUUUGGUUGACUGCGAGUCAAUGAGUCUGCUGAGGAAACUUCACAUACAUGUAAAAUAAAGAGGACAAAAAUUACUUGCCGGCCAGAUACAAGGUAGUCAGCAAAGAGCACCAAAUACAGUUUACUUACGAUGAUGACAUCAUAGUUAAAUAAAAUGGUUUUGAUUUUCAAUAUAUGAAAUGUAACAAUUCAAAGCUACCCCAAUCUCAAUUAUUGUUUUUUAUAAUAUUUAUAAUGCAUCUUAACUUAUAUAAUAAUAUUUAUUUAUUUAUUUUUAAAUCAAAUUAUAUUAUAUUAUAUUAUAUUAUAUAUAUUUCAUUUUAAAAAAUAAAUUUAUAUUUAUUCUUUUAUUAUUAUCUUGAAAUUUUAUCUUAUUUGUUAUUUAAAUUUUCGUAUAAAUACAUUAAAAAAGUUUUUUUUUUUAAAAUAGAUUUUGAAUUAUGUAGUCCAACCAACCUAAAUUUAACUUGAUCAAUUUGAGUCUAAUUUGAAUAAUCCGAACUCAAUCUAAGUUUGAACUUGAGUUUGAAUAUCUCAUGUUAGAGUUUAGGUGAGUUAAGUUCGGGUUGAUUAUUUCUUAAUUUGGGUUGGCCUCAGGUUAGUCAUUAAUUUGAUCAACCCGUCCAAAUUGUAACCCUAAUAUAAAGUAAAUUUAUAUAUUUUUUAUAUAAAAUUAUUAUUACUUUUUAUUUUUUAAAAAUAUCCAAAUGAUUUUUUUUGAGGAAAAUGUUGCGAUAAAUCCCCGAUAUAAUGGAAAAAAGGGCCAAAAAAAGAUGAAAAUCACUGGUCAAAUCGUUACAGUGAGCUAUAGUGCACCCUCAAAUUUCUCCUUCUUUUGUGCUGUUGAAAGGGAUUCGGGGUUCAACGCUUCCAACCACUAGGGCAAGCUUGCCCUUUGUUAAAUAGAUUGUACUUAAAAUAUAUAUUCAAAGUCAUCAUGUAAAGAAAUUUUUAAAAGAAUAUUUUAGAGGGCAAAUUAAAUAUAAUUAUUUUAUAAUUAAAUAAAAAAAUUUCUUUUAAUUGAUUACCAAAAAUAUAAAAAUUAUCAUAAUAAUUUUUUUCACAGUGUUUUCAAUAUCAUUAAUGAAUUAAUUAAAUAUUAAAAAAUUGUACAUAUAUUAUAAUUUAUUUUAUAUUAUUUAAUACAAUUGAAUUAAAUGGAUCAUAAUUUUAAUAUUAAUAUAUAUUUUUAAGUUAAACAUAUUAUAAUAAAAUAUCAUAAUAUUAUAUAUAAUUUAAUAAUAAAUGUAUACUUAUAAAAUUCAUAUUUUUAUUGUUGCAUAUGAUAUUAUUAUCAAAUAUGAUAAAUCAUAUUAUACAUAUAUCAAAUUCUUUAAUAAAACAACUUAAAAAUAUCUAUUAUACUUUUAAUUACAUUUUUUAUGAAGUUUUUUUUGUAUUUUUAUAAAUUUUGAUCAAUUUUAGGCUUAUCGAUAUUUUUUUUCAAAAUAUCCACGGAUAUAUCUUCAAUAUAUCCGUAAAAUCGAAAUACCAAUAUAUCCGUGAUUACUGAUAUUUUCAUCCUUGAUUUUUUUUUCAAUUUUUUCAUAAACAUCAAAUAAAAAAACAUUAAUUUUUUUCCUUACCAUUUUCUUUCCCUUGAACUUAACCUAUUCUAUACCCAGAUUUGUUACUUAGCUCAUUUUAGGUCUAUGCCAUCAUAUGGUAUCAGUCCUUAACCCAGUGCAGGGCCCAAUGUAGACUCGUUCCCUCUUGGCCCAAUAUGGUUUGGCCGCUUUUUAACUUUAUUUUAUUUUAUUUUAUAUUUUUUUUUCUAAUUUAACUUUUAUGCUAAUUUUUUUCCUUUAUUUUAUUCUUGUUGCAAUAUUGUGGGGUGGCUAUUACAUGUAGUGGUAUGAUUUUUAUUUAUUUAUUUUGGACAUAUUAUUAAUAGGGAUGGAUGGCAACGAGAUGGGUCAUCCUAUUUCAAUCAUGUCCCAUUUAUUUAAAAUAAUUUUUAUCCCUACCCUAUUAAAAAAAAAAUGGCAUGGGGUGAGGCUGAUAUGCAAAUUUCCUAUAUCCAUCUUAUCUGUCUUGUUUAAUUUUUUCUGCAAGAAUUUUUUUUUAAAAAAAUAUUAAUUUUUUAAUUACAUUAAAGUAAAUAAUUAAAAUAUUAUAAUUUUUUUUAUUGAGAAGUAAUUUAUUAUAUAUAUAUAUAUAUAUACACACACACAUAUAUAUUAAAAAUAAAAAUAAAAUAUAAAUUAAAUUAAUUUUUAAAAUUAAUUUUAUAUUUAAUCAGGCAGACACGAGACAAGAGAAGACAUGAAUAUAUAUUUUGAUGCAGGAAUGAUUUUGGAUGGAUUAAAGGAAUGAUCUUGCUCUAGCUAUAGUGGUAAUAUCGUUAGGAGUAACAAAGUUUAAUAUGAUUUGUUAAUAUAAUUUGAACUUAAGAUGUUUUUUCACAGGUUUAGAUCAAGUAUAAGCAAAUUUGAGUCAAAUUCAUGUCGACUUAUAUAAUCCAUUUAAUAAAUAGACGGUUUUUGGGUCAAUCUGUGUAACAUAAAUAUAAUUUGAAUUAACCCAAUUAAUAAUCUUAUUGAUUAACUUUAAACUAUUUAAUCUAUAUUUGACUCAUUUUAAAUUUGUUCUUAAAUAGAUAGGUCAAUUAGUCAUGAAGUUAAAAUAAAAUAAUUAUUCAUGUCAGGUUUGUAUUGACCUUUGUAAUAAAAUAACGAGGCUUUAAUUUUUCUAAUGAAUUAAUUAUUUUGGGAAAGUAAUUUUACUUGCAUAUAAUUAGUUCAUUAUUUGUUUAUUUUAAAAUUUAUUUUAAGAUAAAAAGAAGAAGAAGAAGAAAUGACCUUGUAAAGCAAACCAAUUAUUUUAGUAAUUUGAUGAACUUAUUUGGACUUCAAAACCAAAUGAAAGUAAUUUUCUAUACCAACCCACUUUUUUGCAUGUAAAUUCAUUUUUGUAGGAAGAACCAUUAUUUUUAUUUAUUUAUUUAUUUAUAGUUAAUUUAUUUUAUUUGUUUUGUUGAGAAAACGAUAAUUCUAUUUAUUGUGGGUCAAUUUUGAUGCGGAAAUUCAAUUACCCGAGAAAAAAAAGCAUGGGAAGUAAUUGUAUUUAUAUCAUUUUUUUUUGUAAAAAGAUAUAAUUUAAAUCUCGUAAAUCAAAUAUUUUUAGAUAGUUUUUUAUUUUAAGUAUCUUUUUGGUUUAACAUAUUAUGGACAUGUAUUUUUCAUAUACAUCCCUAUUUGAUGACGAGACUCGUUUUUAUGUGAAAAUUUGAUUUUUUUUUUUUUAAAGUUGGAGUUAUUAUUUAUUUUUAAAAGAGAAGACAAAAUAAGAAAUAAAAUUCAAUGUUUUUCAAAUUAGAUCAGUCAUUGAACUAAAAAAGUUAAUGGUUCAUGGUUCAACUUUGUACAUAACCAAUAAAUAUAUAUAAAAAGAUAUUUACAAGAGUCCAUAGAAAUGAAACUAAAUAGAAGCGAUGAAAGAAAAUGUGUACCUAAAUAGGUUUACAACAAGUUUAAUGCUCUCUUUUUGUUUAAGGUCUUAUGCUCUAUUUAUAGUCUUCUUGAGCCUCAUUUUCUUUCAUGAAAUUUAAUUCUCCACGUGUUACACAUCUGUGCUAAGCCAGCAUAGCUCAACUACUAGAAUACCAAUAAGAGUAAUGAAAUGGGCCAAUGUAAAACAAAAAUGAGUCUAAAGUAAAUAUCAAAAAAUACAAAGCUUUCAAUAAGCCCCAAAACAACCCUCAAAUUAGUCCAAUAAAUCUCACUAAUAAAAAUGAGCCCAAAUUAAUAAAUGAAACCCAAUAGAAAUAUCCAACAUGCUAUAGGUCUGAGUCCAAAAUUCUAAAUUAAUAACCAAUAUAUGAGUCCAAUCAAUCAAGGUAAAAUGUAACAAACCAAAAUAAAUUCAAUAAGGCCUAAAUUCAAUAUCACAAAACCAAAAUCCAAUAAUCAAUGAAUCCAAAUAAAACCCAAGUCAAACCCAAAUCGUAAAUAUGAAUCAAGGUCCAAAUGAUAUUUAAAUCACCUAAGUUCAAUGUAGACCCUUUAUUUUGUUUCUUUAGUACAUGUCCUAUUGAGUACUCUUUCAAUACUUCAUAGUAAUUCCUUGGUGGUCCAUUGAUACUCAUUCAGCUUCUUUCUGAGCUACCUUUAGAAAUCUUUUGGUUCAGGGACUCAUCUAGACCCCACACUGUAACCUUGGCAACCCCUUGAAUUUAGUUUAGUGUUUUUUUUUUUCACUUAGAUGUUUCUAGGCUUAGGUCACACUUAUGUUUGUUUGUUCUUGACUGCAUGAUUUUGAGUUUAAGGUGAGUAUUUGGACUUGAUUUCGAUCAUGAGAAGAAAAUCAAGAGAUGAUUUUAUAUGUUGCAUUAUUUGAAUAUCUUGGUUACAUACAUGAGACUUGUAUUUUGGUUUAUUUUAUUUAUUUAUUAUUUAUUAUUUUUCUUAUUUCUCAACCACAUCAUUUCUAACUUAUAUUUAUUUUAUUCUAUUUUGCAUGAGCAAAUUGGUUGCAUAUUUUGGAAAGGAGAAUCAAGGUCACAAAUUUUUAAGGAAAAAUAAGGUCAAGAGGCUAGAUUUUUUUUUUUUUUUUUUUUGUGGAAUUGAGAAUCAAAAAGAGAAGCUUUACCUUUCAUGCAUAGGGUGGAUGGAGAAACCAAAUAGAAAAGCAGUAGCUUGCAUAUGGGAGGUGGAUCUAAUUAUGGGAAGAAGAUAGCACCACGCGGCUGCAUCUGGACGGCUGCCUCAAGCCAUUGAAAGGCAAGAGCAACCCACGCCCAUAAAAGGAGAGGAUUAUGCAAGAAUAAGGAUCUCGGCUGAUUCUUGAGAGAGGGCAGAUUAUGGGGCUGUGAGAAAAGAAAAAGGGAACCAAAGGGUGGAGGCAAGGGGGGAUUCUGGACGACAAAAGAAGAAAAACAGAGGAGGGCAGACCAUGCAUCUCGGUUGAUUCUUAGAGAGAGGAGCAGAAUAGAGAGAGGGGGGAACAUAAAACGAGGGCAGUGAAGAGCAAAGAAGAAGGAGAGAGAGGGGGAAGUGGAGGAGCAGGAUAGCAGCAAAAGAAGAGAAGCAGAGGAAAGCUUUCCAGGUAUGAUCAGAAGAUCUCUCAUCUUCCGCUAUUCUCUUUUCCUCUUGAUUAUUAGGUGUUAUUUGCUACUUGAUGUUUCUGUUGAUUAUUGGGUGUUUUCUUUUGCUGCUUGAUGUUUGAGGAAUCAUGUUCAAAUUUUGUUUAAACUCACCUUGGUACGUUCAGUUGUUUUUAAUCCAUUGAAAGAGCAUGAAAUGUGGCUUAUUUGCUGUACUUUGCCUGUUUCUUCUCUGUUCUUCUUGGAUUUCAUUGCUAUCUUUCUGCGUCUAUGUUUCUGCCCUUUUCCAUCUUUGAUACCUUAAUCUUUGGAAGUCAUAAUAGCAUGAAUAUCUUAAGAAAAGCUGAAACUUUGAAGAGGACCAUGUACAUUGUGGGUUGCUUGUGGGGUUUGGCACAUGGCUGCAGUUUGUUGAAUCAGAUUGGAUAUUUCUUCUUCAAGGCAAUAAAGUUGUUGGAACGCGUUCCGGAUGUGAUUUAGUUGGAUGCAGCGGUUGCUCCUACUUCUGGGGUUCUCUGUUCGCAGUAUUCUGGGUUGUAGUUCUGGCGGGUUUUUCUUUAUCUCAACAGUGGCAAUACCUUCAAUCAAAGCUACUGUCAUGGAGGGAUAAUAUCGUAAAUAUGAUUAGUACCUUUCAAGCCAGCAGGAUACACGAGAUGACUCCCAGGCAAUGCAAAGAUCUGUAUACUCAUCUGAAGGUGAUGGUUUCUCUGGUUCUGAUUUGGGUCUUGGCUCCACUUUCAGAAGCUCCAUCUUUGUUUCAUUCUCCUUUAAAAUAAUGAAGUAGUGGUACGAAUCUGCUGAGGAAAGAAUGUCAUCUCCAAUUGUACGCCCAACCUGUCUUUGGUUCAUUCCCUUCACUUUUCGCGUGCAUGUAGUUUCGGAAGUGCAUGGUCUCCCUCAUGAACUGCAGAUUCUUGAACUUGGUUCCAGCAGAUUACUGGUAAUGGAGAACUUGCAAACUUUAACAAGAAUCUCAAAUAAAGAAGUUCCGUAAGCUGACCGAAGCUCAUGAAAGUGUCGAACCAUCUCGGGGCCUUCACUCCCUGAACACAGCUUAGGUUCUUAUUUUUCCGUAAGCUGCAGCUGUACCAGAAAGCAAUGGAACGGAGAAGACUCUCACCUCGGAAUGUAUUCAUCAUGGAUACAGGGAUAGGGGAACUACCACAAUCUACCUAAUUUCCUUUGUCCGUGAAGUUCUGUUUGAAAAUAAGGUGCGUGAGCUCAUGGGAGUGUGCGAGGAUGAAAUGAAAGUGAUUCAUUAGAUGGGAGAAAGAGUGGGCUCUUCUUGAAGUGAAAUUAUAGGACUGAAAGCUCCGCCGUUUGCAUGAAGUCCUGUCAUAGCUUCUCUGAGAGAUAAUAUAGCAUUCCUUGAGCGCAAUGCACUAUUCCAGACAAAGCUUCAAGUAGCCGACAAUGAUCAGAAACCAAAGAAUAUGGAAGUGGUGGUUGGUGAAAACAGCUUCCAAGAAUUGAGAGAAGGUCAGGGCUGCUGAAUGUACAAUGGAUUAGAAAGUGUUGAAUAAGAAAGAUCCAAAGCCAAUAAAUGCUUUGAAGCUAGAAACUAGGUUGAGACUGCUGAACAUAGUUCCACCUGUCCGUCACCAUCCUCCCCACGUGCAUGCAGUUGUGGCCAUGCAUGUUCACCCUUCUUACCUCAAUGCAGUCUUCUAAGUCCCAAACAUGCAGCUCCUUGUUUUCCCAAUUAUUGAAUUGAUUUGUUUUCAUCAUUUUUUUAUUUCUUUUACUUCAACCAAAAUAAUAAUAAUAAUAAUAAUCCAAUAAUUUUUUAUAUGCUUUUUAAAAUUGGUUUUAAAACUUUGUUUUUGAUAAAUUCACUUCUUUUUAAAUUCCACCUUAAAAAUCUUUUCUAGUUUAAUAAAAAUCUUUUCUUCAAAUUAACUUGCUGCCAAUUUCCUUUUGGCAUGCAUUCUUUUAUUUUUCUUGAAAAAUAUUUUUCUCAAUUUUAAUAAACAUGGUUUAAAUCCUAUAAUUAAUGGAAUUCCCCCAAAUUUCUAUGAUCCCUCCUUCUUGACUAUUAGGAAUAUGAAGCUUAUGGACUUAAUUCAUGCAAAGAUAAAUUAGUCAUUGGUGGGGCGCAAAACAUGAGUUUUCUCCUUUCACUUUUGGCUGCUAUGCUUAGUGAAUAUGGAUUGAUCUUUGCCUUGCUCUAUGACAUACUUGUGAUUAUUCUAUACUUGUUAUUGUACACUAACCCUGAUUCUCAUGUAGUGUGUAAUUGCCGGCCCAAUGCUAAGGUACGUACCUAAUCUUCAACUUUUGAAAUUACAUGAAUAUGCAUGUUAUUGUGAGUUAUGUCCAUACUUGAUGCUAUCUUUGAUUGCCAUGAUGCUUGCUUGAUUUUCUCUGAUGAGAUCCGUGUUAUAUAUCUUGUUGUUUGAACUAACUCUGAUGUCUUGUGAUAGCGCUUAAGAAACAUUCUAGGUAUAUACCCUAACUCUUCUUUAUGAUUGCAAUUUGAAUUCUUGUUUGGAAUGUUAAUGUUAAUAGAAUUUUAGAAUCACCUUAGCUUUUCUUGGUACCCUAAGUCAAUAAGUCAAUUGCCAUAUUUCCUUUAAUCUAGCUAAUAGAGACCUCCUUAGGUAUUAAAGAGGUGUUACUUCUUUGAGAUACCUUCCAAAAGGUAAUAUGAUCCUUAGACCCAAACUCGGGCUUUUUGAAGAUAUGUUUUUUCAAAACUACGAAGUCAAAUUUUCUUUUAGGGUUUUCUUUCUUGAUUUAUUUUCAUUUUUAAAAUAAUUUAAAUAAGUGGCAUAUAUAUAGUCUUUCACCAACAAGAAAUCAUGAAAAAUGCGGGUCUGCACUCAACCCAAAGUCCACAAAUAACAUCUAAAUCAAGUAAAUGCAUACUUAAAAAUAAUGAAAAUAAUCAAUAACAACCAAUGUAAUAUAAAAAUAAAAUAACCAAUUUCUUUAGGAAACCAUGGAUGGAAGGUGGCAAAGAAGUAGAAGUGAGGGAAAAGAGAAGAAAAAAAGAAUAAAAAACAUAAAAUAAAUAAAAAAAGAAAAAGAAAAUAUGUGAGGUGAGAAAGAAAUAGAAAAUGAAAGAAAAUGAGAGAAUAAGAGAGGUGGGGGGAAAUGGGGGAGGGGUGGAGGGGUGGAGGGGAGUCAUCGAAAAUGAUUGUUGUUAGUGGGGGCCAUCGAUCAAUAGUGAUGGUGGUGGUAGGUGAGAGUGGAUGGGUGUGGAAAAAAAAUAUAAAAAAAGAAAAAGAAAAGAGAGUCUAAUGACCAAAGAAAAGAUGCAAAGUUGAGAAAACAAUUUUUUCUUAUUGACAAUAUUUUUUCAUUGUCUUUCCCAUUGCACUCUCCUUAUUUUAUAUAAACUAUUAAAUAGAAAUAGAAACGGAAUAAAAUAAAAACUAAUUCUAAGGAUUCUUUAUUUCCUUAACUAAUUAGGAAUAGAAACCAAAAAUUGAGGGAUCCUAGGGAUCCUUUAUUUGGGUCGUAACAUUCUCUUCCCCGUUAAAAGAAGGAAAUCCUCUUAAUGGGUGAUAAUUGACUAUUCUAAUUCAUUCUGAUUCCCAUAGAGUUCAAUGUACUCUCUCCACUUUUGUUAGAGUCCUUGACUUCCUUGAGAAUUGCCUUCAUUGUCCCUUCCUACAACAAGGCUAACCCAAUGGUUUGGGCUAGUGUGUGUGGUCGAAACAUGGUGACUUGAUUUUUAAUUGCUUCUUUCAAGCCAUUAAUGAAACAUUAACAAAAAAUUCAUUUGACAACUUGCUAGUUUUGGCCAUCAACGCUUCAAACUACUUUUGAUAUGCCCUAACCAUAAAAACUUGUUUCAAUUUGGUUAUUUGCCUAAUAGGGUUAUUGUAAACACUAGGGACAAACCUAUAAACAACAUUUAUAGAAAACUGUGUCUAGAGAAAAUGAAAGAAGUGAAAAGUGAAAAAAAUGAGAGGAGAAAAAAAAAAGGGGAGAGUUCGGUAUAAAUGAGAGAAAAAAAAAAGAGGAAAAAAUAAGGAAAGAAAAAAAAAAAAAAGAAAUAAAAGAGAAAAAUAAAAGAAGUGAAAAGGGUAAAGAGCGAGGAGAGAAAAAAUGGGAAGAGAAGAAAUGGAGAGUCAGGUGUGAAUGAGAGGAAAAGAAACGUGAUAAAAAUGAAAGAAGAGAAAAUGUUAAAGAGUGAGGAGAGAAAAUGGGAAGAGAAAAGAAAAAAAGGGAGAGUUAGGUGUGAUGAGAGGAAAAGAAACAUGAGAAAAAUGAAAGAAGAGAAAAGGGUAAAGAGUGAGGAGAGAAAAAAUGGGAAGAGAAAAAAAAAGGGGGGGAGAGUCAGGUGUGAAUGAGAGGAAAAGAAACAUGAGAAAAAUGAAAGAAGUGAAAAGGGUAAAGAGUGAGGAGAGAACAAAUGGGAAGAGAAAAAAAAGGUGUGAAUGAGAAGAAAAAGAAACUUGAGAAAAAUGAAAGAAGUGAAAAGGAAAAUAUGAGAUGAGAGAAAAAAUGGGAGAGUCGGGUGUGAAAUGGGGUAAAAACAAGGAAAGAAAAAUGAAAGAAGUGAAAAGGAAAAAUGAGAGGAGAGAAAAAAUAGGAAGAGAAAAAAAGGGGAGAGAGGCGGAUGUGAAUGAGAAAAAAAAAAGAGGGAAAAACAAGAAAAGAAAAAAGAAAAAAAAAGAAAGAAAAAGAGAGAAAAAUGAAACAAGUGAAAAUUAAGGGAAAAUGGGAUGAGAGAAAAAAUGGCAAGAGAAAAAAAAUGGGAGAGUUGGGUGUGAAUGGGAGAAAAAAGAAGGGAAAAACAAAAGAAGAAAAAGAAAGAUAAAAGGAAAAAUAAAAAAUGAAGUAAAAAAUAAUCAAAUAAACAAAUAAUAAUAAAACAAACUAAAAUAAAAUAAAAAAGUGAGAAUAGGUUUAUUACAAAUUUUGGGAUUUACAACUAUUUUAACAAAUUUAUUUAUUUAUUUAUGCAUUUAUCUAAUUAUCAUUAUCACUAUCCAAGUUGUCCAUUCAUCCCCUUAAUCCUUAUCUAUCCCUUUUUACUUGAUCAUCAUUUUGAUUAUCAUUUUUUCCACUAGAUUAAUAUAUGUGUACUGUUUGCUAUUAUGAUAUGGUAUCAAAUAGCUAAUUAAUAAAUUAUUUGUUUUUCAUCAACUCUUUUAAUAAAGGUUGAGAUUAGCUUGGGCUUAGUCAUAAUCUUGCCCUAGACUGAAUUAUGGCUUUAAUUCUAUUAUUUUAUUUAAAAAAAUUAAAAUAAGAUAAGUAGUAAGCCUGCAUCUUUUUCUAAAAAAUAAAAUAAAUGAAACUUUUAAGGCUAUGUUUGAUAUGUGAAAGUUCAAAGGAAAAAAAGAGAAAAUUUUGAAAUAAUUUUUCCUAUAUAUAUAUAUUAAGGAAAAAUUAUAAUUUUUUUAUUUACCUAUAAAAAAUACAACAAAUAAUAUUAUUUUUAAGGUGUUAAGAGCAUGUAUAUUGAAACUAAAUUUUACAAACUUAAACUUUUAAAAAAUCCCGUCCUUCUAUAACAUGCACCAAAACUUUUAAGUAAAUGGGUAAACCUAAAUUUUUUUUUAUAUAUAAGUAAAAUAUAAAAAUUAUUAUUAUCAUUUUAUGUUUGUAAAGAAAAUAAGAAGUGAGACUAAUUGGCAUCCAUUGGGAAUCAUUGGCCCAUUUUAGGUUGGAAAAUCUAAGCCUUCUUAGUCACGCAUAGCGAAAUUGAUCAUAUUUAAAAGGAAAGUCAAGGUCAACUGUUUCCAAUUUUCCAUACAAUAUUCCCCAUAAUUUUCUCUUUCAAUUUAUCCAUACAUUCAUCAAGGAUGAAAGCUUAUUCAAUCUAUUACUAUUGAUAUAGAUACACUAAGCAGAGAAAGACCCAGUUCACACACUGCUCUUAAUGGUAGAGCUAUAUCCACUCUGAUCAUCAUAGUACUUUGACCACAACAUCACACCUCCAUACUUGGGUGAUGUCUUAAUGACCGGAAGAAUUUGAGAGGUCAACACAUUGGGCGGAAUAAACCCGCUUCCGGCAGCUGCAGAGGCUGCUGGCAAACCCAAGAAGAUCCGUGAAUUUAUCGAUGAAGUCCACCGGUUCCAUGAAUUCAGAAGGUUAGUGGUGUUGCCAGAAGUAUACUGGCAUGGGGGAUUGUUAUAGAAUUGCACCCAAACAUUGUCAAAACGGCCUGUGUUAAGAGCAGUGCCCAUGAACUUAUCUGGGAAUGGACACUGAGGGGCUGCAGUUAGGUAUACCUUCCUUCCACGCUGACUGAAACCCGAUAAGGCUCGAGCAAGGUUGUCCCAGUACUGGGUCGAACCGAGCAGGAUGACAAAGUCUAUGCCAUCUAAUACUGCAUCACCUAAUGGCCGAGACGAUGAUUGUCCUCCCAAGAAGUUGUUCCACAGAUAGUUGGCUACGUUUUGGGCAUCAUCGGAAGAGGACAGAGAGUAACUUCCAAUCGCACCACCUAUAGAGAGCAUGACCUUAACGCCUUGACUUUGGCAGUUACUUAUGUCGGUACUGACGGAGGUGCAGCCAUUGGAAGCAGAGUCGCAAUGGCCUGCAAGGUUGAUUUCAGGGGUCUGGCCAUUCCCGAACUUGUUGAGGAAGGCUAUGUUAACGUAGGAGUAUUUUCCGGUGUUGCAGGUUUGGGUUAGGGUCCCUUCAUUGCCGUUUUGGCCCCAGUAGAUGGCGAUGCCACCGGCAUAAGUGGUCUGGAGGAAAGCUAGGACUGAGAGGGAGAUGAGCAGAGGUGUGGAUUGGGGGGUUCUGGCCAUUCUUGAAAGAGCUGGUGUGGCCUGUGCUUGAUUAAUGUGUGUGGGGGUGAGUCCUUUUUAUAGAGUUCUAGAGUUGAGGGUCGUGACUCGCAAACUUUAACCGAGUCAUGUCUUUUCUCGUUGGCUCUAUAUUAACAAAUAAUAAGAUUGUGAGAAGCUUAAAGACGAUAUUAAAAUGUUAUGAUAAUUGAGAUGGGCUUCUAGAGACAGAUAAAUGGAAAUGGAGGAAGAGUGGGAGACAACCAACAUAGGAUCAUGCAAGCCUUUUUCCUAGAAGUUUCCCUAGAAUGCUGGGCAUUUUCAGGACUUAGGAAGAGUUAACUUCAUGCAUUUUCUGACUCAUUUCUCUCGACCAAAUCCUAAAUGCAAAGUAUGGGAGAAAAUGAUAGGUUCCCACCCUUUCCAUCAAAUCUGAGAAUAACUCUCCUGCAUCAACUGGACCAGAUUCAUCUGAAGAGGCUUUGAUCUGGAGCGAAGAAAACCUGUUGGAAUCUGUUUCACAGAGAUUAUCAUUAUUCAUUAUGCACACGGUUUUCCAAGAGAUGAAUCUUCAUGAGACAAUUGCUACAUUUUUUAAGAUACAAAUGGUAGGAAAUCACAACAGAAAUUCCAGUAUAUUAUGGAACCAGCAUGUCAGGUCGUCUAUGUCUCAAUCCUAUCUGGAGAACAUAAUGCCAUCCUUCUCAUUUACCAGAAAAAUUGUUAAACCCCACGAGAAAGAAGAUGCUCACACCCACCUCACGCUAAGAUCAUCAUACUUUAUUUGUUCAGUUCCACUGGAUUUACCAUUUGGUAUGGUAUUCACUAAAGUUUUAUCUAACUUAUGAUUUAAAAUAUUGGUCAUAAACAUGAUUUUAUAAAAAUCCACAAAAUCCCCAUUCAUUUUAACCCCAAAAAGAUACCAGCCCCGGAGCUGAAACGGCUCUCAGUAGAGAACUGAGAGACAGCACUCCAACAUUGGGCUUCUAGUUCAGUAAUUCAAAAUUUCUCCCACACAUUUAUGGGAAAAAAAUAUUGGAUGAAGGGAACUCUGUGAUCAACUAAUCAAAGUCCUGGAAAAGAAGUUCCACCUUUAAUAGAUUUGAACUGAUAAGCUUUAGAAUCAACAACAACCCCUCAAUCUAUAAAGCUUUAAGUAGCUAUCUUUUCACCAAAAAAUAGAAAAAGAAGCCAAAAUCUCUAACCCUUCUCUGACUAACUUCUUACAAUAGACGCAGUAUCUUGGAGUAAUCUUUCAAAAAACCAAGCGUGGAUAUUGCUUGGGUCCAUUGGGUACUCAAUUUCGAGAAGGGGUUUGGUAUUUUAGCAAAUUCAACAAAGCCCAAAAUUUCCAACAAAAGUACACUGCAGCUUUUAGGGCAUAGCUAUCUGAACUACGGCUGAAACCCAAUAAAUUCUUCGCAAUUUUAAAUCAACAAAACACAGAGACAUUCUAGAAAAAUUGAAAUUACCCAGUACCCACAUCAUUCAUCAACCGUAUUUUCUGGGUUUGUAAAAUCCAGCUUAAAGCUAUCGAAGGAGCAAAGAUUCCAUAACAAUUCAAACCACGAUUAACCAAUAUACAAUUCAGUAGAACGGAUGCCUUGUACAUAAACAAAUUACUAUGCAAUGUUGAUUUUCCAAAUUAAGUUUGUUUAUAUGCAAUUUUUGUCACAUACUUGCAUCUCUAUGGUUGUACACUUGUAGAACAUCUAACUGCAUGUGUCAAGUUCUGGUUUUUAUGGGAAAGCACCACCUAUACUUUGGCGAUGAACUCAUAAAUUCAUAAUAUUAUUCAAGACUUUGUCUAGCUGACAUGUUUGGGACUAACUGUAACCCAGUGGUCGUUCACUACCAUAGGCUGGCCACAAAUUUUCAACUUUUCAUUCUUUCGGGCCUAUUUAUCAGUUCAUUUUCAGGCCAGAAAAUCCCUCAUUCCAUCAACUCAAUGUUUGCUCUUUACUGGGUCCAGACCCGGUCAUCUUUGUUCCUCAUGUAUGGUUUCUGUUUCUAGGUUCUCAUGAGUGCACUGAUUGCUACCUUUUUGUUUUCUUCUCUAGUUUUUUUUUUGCUCUUGCCUCCGGUCUAUCUUCUCACAUUUCUUUACUCCUUGCUUCUGAACAAUUUUAUUUUAUUUUCGAUGGUUUAUCAUUCUGUACCUUCAGACACAAUAAGAAUGUGUUUGACAGUGAUUAUAGAAAAUGUUUUUAAUAUUUCUAAUGUUUAAAAUUUUUUAUUUUUUAAGUAUUAAAAAUACUAGAAACAAUUAUGAAAAUCACUAUUAAAUACAUUCUAAGUCUCCUAGUCUCUUUACAAAAUUUGUGCAACAAUAUAUGCAUCAAUCAAAUAUCAUCCCAGAAUCAUCUCUCAGUUCAUGAUAGGAUUCAUGCGUUAGUCCAUUUAUAGAUUUAGAAUAGGCCAAUUAAGAAUGAAAUUGAAAUAAUUAUCUAAGACUUUCUAGGUAUAGUGGUAGAGUGGAAAGGAUAUCUAAUAGAUUUCAAGUAGUGGAUAAAGAUUUCUUGAAUUUAGUUGCAUUUAAAAUAUUUCUUCUCAAUAUUGAUAGAUUUUCUAAGAUGAAUCAGCCAUAUGUUUCUUUUUUCGGCUAAGCUUAUUCAGCUUUAUGAUUUUUUUUUACUAAAAUCCUGUUGACAUUUUAGGAGCAAGAAGGAGAAUCACAGAUUAUUUAUGAAAUGUAACAACCCUCUACAUGAGAUAUUGUCCACUUUAGCUUUUACGGUUUUAAAAUACAUCCACAUACUUAAGAUGGGUUCUUUACAUAUAUAGGAAUUUCUCUCCAGAUAUGGAAUAUCACAAUGAUACCAUGACAUUGUGUUCGACAAGAUUGCGAUGCCAUUUGGACAAACACCCAAUGCAUGAUUGAUUGACAUUGAUAUAAUUUAUUGCAACACACUCCUCCAUAUGGAAUGUACAAAUUGUAUGCAAAAGGGAGCAAGUCAUUUCACGAAAUGCUCAAAACCCAGGAACAAUUGUGUGCUGAUGGGGUUAAAUCCAGACAACAAACAUAUAGCAUGAGGGCUUUUGUGGUAGCAUAUAAGUAAAUGCAAGAAGAACCUGUUUAAGUUGAUUUUCUUAGUAGAUAUGCUAGCAUAGUUUUUUUUUCUUUGAUAUCCGUGGAUGUCCGGUCUAGCUUACGCGCAUCUUGACUAAUCCCACGGGACCCUGAAGUUAAUGACUAGGUAAACCUCCAAUGGCCUUGAGGGGACUCGAACUGGUGACCAUUGGGGAGCAAACCGAAGACCGGACCAAUAGAUAUGCUAGCAUAGUUGAAGCUAUUUGUGAAGAGAAUUGCUAAUUAUAUUUUCAAAAACAAUCUGGUUGAUACAUCGACCACUACACAAGAAUAUAGUACAGGAUCCAAGUGUCUCUUAUGAAGAACAUUAGAAUAUCCAUAUCUUUUAGGAUCAAGGAUCAUACAAAAUGCAAAACAUACUAUUGCCUUGCAAUUGGUGAGGCUAUUCACUUCCUGAAAUCUUUUUCUUCAAUGCUUCAAUAUCUGUGGCCAGUUCCUUUCGGCUUGACUGGGAAAAUAAUCACAAUUGUUAGCAACAUGUAGUUUGCAUUAUAAGACCAUAGAUUAUGUCAAAACAAUAUUAAAAGGAAAUUGAACACAUAAAUCCAUGAAGUAUUAAGAACAAGUAUGACUUGCAAUAUUAGGAAUUUUUUCCUUUUUUUUGGGAUAAGAAAGUAAUUAAAAUUUACUAAAGUUUAAAUAGCAUGGAAGAAGCAUUCACAGUGCCUGCCACUAUGGAUCUGUCACGAAUAAUUAGAAGAUAAGUUGCAGCAAUUUUGUAAUGAUUUGUGAAUUAUUGAAAAUAAUGCCACAAAUUGAGGUUAAACAUGCUUAAAGAAGCACACUCAUAUAACUUGGACCUCCUAAGAAGUCAGAGAUAGUUUAAUAUCAUGCUUACAAUCCAAUUGUUUCUUAGACGACAUAUUUGAUUUAGAUUAUGGAGUCACAUUCGUGGCAUAAUAUAGUCACUGGAGAUGCUAAUUUCAAUAUCAGACAUGUCAAUUCAUAGAGAGGUUUUUCUGAUUUUACCUUAAAGAGAAGGUAUCGGUAGACAAACCAUCCAGUAUAUCCAAGUCCCACCAACUCCAUGACUUUUGGAAGCUGGCAAAUGAAAGACGGAUUAAUUCAGAAGCUUUAUAUUCAUUACCCAAUUGCACAUUGUUUAUUAAAAAUGACUGAAGAACAGUAAGAUCACUUACCAAAGGGACCGAAUUGAUAGCACUAACAAUGAUGGAAGACAGCCAAACUGCAACUAUUGCCCCACCUCCAUAGAUAAAAACUGUGGAUUUGUUUUCGAGUGCAUCCCACUGUUAAAAGGUAAAGGAAAUUUAGACAGAGGCUUAUAAUAAAAUGGAAAAAUAUAUAACUGAUUGCUUGGGCAGUCAGACACGAUCCCAGUCUUGAAAAAAAAAAAAGAAAAAAAGAAAACUCGGCACUCUAUAACCUAGAGGCCAUUGUUGUCGGUCUAGGAGUGUAAAGACCUACUAGAUCCUGUAAUCAUAGAUCAGAGGACAGACACAGUAAUUAGGAUGGUGUUGCUUCCAUUUUACUGAAAAAUUGAAGGUAAUUGUGAUUCACCUUUAUGCCUAGGUUUGUUACCUGGUAAAGGCUUAACCCGAGAAGGGUUGAAACCAUGUAGUACCAAAGGGUGAUCAUUCAGAUAUCAAUGCUUAUACCCAUCAAUGUUACACAUUGUGAUAAGUCUCAUAUGUGUGUAAAGACACCAAAAUCCAAUGGCCAUAGGUAGAGUUAACUACAUGCAUUUUUCUGACUCAUUUCUCACGACCAAAUACUAAAUGCAAAGUAUGAGAGAAAAUGAUAGGUUCCCACCCUUUCCAUCAAAUCCGAGAAUAACUCUCCUGCAUCAACUGGACCAGAUUCAUCUGAAGAGGCUUUGAUCUGGAGCGAAGAAAACCUGUUGGAAUCUGUUUCACAGAGAUUAUCAUUAUUCAUUAUGCACACGGUUUUCCAAGAGAUGAAUCUUCAUGAGACAAUUCCUAAAUUUUUUAAAAUACAAAUGGUAGGAAAUCACAACAGAAAUUCCAGUAUAUUAUGGAACCAGCAUGCCAGGUCAUCCAUGUCUCAAUCCUAUCUGGAGGACAUAAUGCCAUCCUCAUUUACCAGAAAAAUUGUUAAACCCAACGAAAAAGAAAACAAAUGAACCAGGAUGCUCACACCCAACUCAAAAUAUUAACCUCCACCUCACACUAAGAUCAUCAUACUUUAUUUGUAUCAUUUUUUAUUUGUUAAGUUCCACCGAAUUUACCAUUUGGCAUGGUAUUCACCAAAGUUUUAUCUAACAUAUGAUUUCAAAUAUUGGUCAUAAACAUGAUAUAAAAAUCUACAAAAUCCCCAUUCAUUUUAACCUCAAAAAGAUACCAGCCCCGUAGCUGAACUGCUCUCAAGAGAGACAGCACUCCAACAUUGGGCUUCUAGUUCAGUAAAUCAAAAUUUCUCCCACACAUUUAAGGAAAAAAUAUUUGGAUAAAGGGAACUCUGAGAUCAACUAAUCAAAGUCCUGGAAAAGAAGUUCCACCUUUAAUAGAUUUUAACUGAUAUGCUUUAGAAUCAACAACAACCCCUCAAUCUAUAAAGCUUUAAGUAGCUAUCUUUUCACCAAAAUAUAGAAAAAGAAUCCAAAAUCUCUAACCCUUCUCUGACUAACUUCUUACAAUAGACGCAAUAGCUUGGAGUAAUCUUUCAAAAAACCAAGCGUGGAUAUUGCUUGGGUCCAUUGGGUACUCAAUUUCGAGAAGGGGUUUGGUAUUUUAGCAAAUCCAACAAAGCCCAAAAUUUUCAACAAAAGUACACUGCAGCUUUUAGGGCAUAGCUAUCUGAACUACAGCUGAAACCCAAUAAAUUAUUCGCAAUUUUAAAUCAACAAAAUACACAGACAUUCUAGAAAAAUUGAAAUUACCCAGUACCCACAUCAUUCAUCAACCGUAUUUUCUGGGUUUGUAAAAUCCAGCUUAAAGAUAUCGAAGGAGCAAAGAUUCCAGAACAAGUCAAACCACAAUUAACCAAUAUACAGUUCAGUAGAACGGAUGCCUUGUACAUAAACAAACUACUAUGCAAUGUUGGUUUCUUGCAUUUCCUACAUUUUCUCAGCAUCCAAACAGAGCUUGAAAACAAAAGGGAAAAAGAAAGAACGAGUGUACCUGAGAAAAGCUUGAGAGAAAGAGAAGAGGGGCGAGGUGGAAGAUUAGGCAGAGAAGAGCGGGGAUGAAACGACGUCGACGGGAGGCGUGGCCUUGAUAUGGCUGCAACCAUGGAAGACGCUCCUGCUGUGUAAGCUGUAGCCAUGGCAAUGCCUCUCUCUCUCUCUCUUUCUCUCUCUACUUCCUCUCUCUAAAACCCUCUGUCCUCCACUCCUCCUUACGUGGUUGACCUCUCUGUCAUUCAUUACUGAUAUUUGUUUAUUUAUCCAUGAUUUUUUCCCCUUUUUUCUUAAAUUCAACAAUGGAGUCAUUGGAUGACACGUGGAAAUGGAGGACUCUGAUUGGUGGGUUACCUAAUCUAAAAUCCACACUACCCUCCACACCCUGUAGUUGUUUUUGUUUUUUUGUAGGGUACCCCACAGACUAAGCCCACUAGUCCCAUCUUUUUCUCCUUUUAAACAAGGACAAUCGGAAAUCCAAACACAAGGGUAUGUAAUUGGACAUGUGUUGAUUUUUGGUACUCUUUGUUAUAAUUUAAUUUAAUUUAAUAAAUUAAAAAUAAUUGAUAACAUAAUUUAUAUUAUACAGACAAUAGUGUUUUGUACCGGAUCCAAAAAUUAAACUUUAAUUCUUAUAAAUUAUAUAAUUUACGAGGAGAAUAUAAAAUAUGAAGAGAUUAAUAUAUCUUUUAAAAUUAUUUUUUACCAUAACAAAUUUUUUUUUUAAUUUUUUUUAAUAAUUAUUCUAAAAAUUUAUUAUUAUUUUUUAAAAUAUAUCAUUUAAAAAAAAUAAAUUUAACAUAUUUUUAGUUAUCUUUUAUAUACACAAUUUUUAAAAUAUAUAUUUUUUAAGAUAUUUGAUUUUUAAAUAAUAAUAAUAAUAAUAAUAAUAAUAAUUUAUUUUUAUUUUUUUUGGAAAAUGAUGUUUUAUUUUUUUUCAAAUCACUAAAUUAUAUUAAAUUUAUUGAGGUUUACAAAAGGAAUAAAAUUUAAAUUAAUACUUUUCUACUUUUUUUUUUUAAUAACCAAUAAAGGUCAUUUCUAAAAAGAUAAAAAAUUUAUAUAUUUCUUUUCAAUUUUCACACUUGUUUUUAAGUUUUGAACUUAAAUAGUAAACUUAUAUGGACCAAAACAUAAUUGUCCGUAUAUUAUAAUUCAAAAUUAAAAAUUAUUUUGACAAAUCAAUUUAAUAACUUAAUUAUAUACAUAAAGAAGCCUUCACGCCUUUAAAACAUGUCUUACGUAGUUAAGAAAAAUCCGUAAUAUAACAUCAUAAAUUUUCUCUUCUAUCUGAACAUUGUAACAAAAUCAUAAGUUAUACACAAUUCCUAAAAGCUUUUAAACCUUAAAAUACUUGCUCAGGAUAUAUACCUGUUGACACUAACAAAUAGAUUGUUAGGGCAAUUUUUCUUUUCUCCUUUUUUUUUUUUUCUGUUAUUUUUACUUUUUGAAAUGAAUAAUUUAUUUCAUUAAAUUUAGUAAGAAAUGCAGAGAAGUAUAAAUCAGGUCAAAUAUCACAUGAUAUAAAUUAAUCAUAAACCUGUUAGUUACUAGCAUUCUAACAGUUUUUCAUGUUAGCAAGUGAAAGAAAAGUAGAACAUUAAAAUCAUUUUACAGACAAUUGCUACAUCAGAUGAGUGACAGAGGGUGUACAAAUUUCUAAUCCAGGUUAACUUCCAUGGAAGCAUGUACCUGAAAGCUAGUUGUUAUAACUUAUAAAGCCUAUAUAUGUAUCAUCUUCAUGAACAACUAUGUGCAAGCGGGUAUUAAUGGGGUUGCCUCAAGCAAUGAUCAAGUCACCAGAAAGUAAGUCCUUGAGACUGAGCUGGAUUGAGUCCCAUGAUCUUGGGGGUCGGCAUCAUCACACUUCUUGGGGGUGACCGUUUCUUUGGGGCGAUGGUCCUUCCUUUCUGAUUGCUUUUUUUAGGAGUCUUGACUUAGGUUUCAUUGCAUUUGGUUGCUUGGGGGCCCAAACUCUCUGCAAAUCUGGAACCCAGUUUGUGAAAGAUGCAAUCUCCGAGCCCUUCCUCUCCUCUAAUGAGUUUCAAUCAACCCGUGGCCAUGCUCCUCUCCCUUAUAUCUUUAGGGCUGCCAUUUUCUGCAGAGAUGUGUUCAUUAGCUCUUUCACUGUCAUCCAUCUCAUCUCUAUCUGGUCUCUCUCCAGGAUUGGUUGCUGUCCUCACUGUUGAGUAGGGGAUUGGGGGAUUCAUCCUCAUCACCAAACAGCAACAAGUCCAUUCGAGUAUAGAUUUUAUGGACUAUAUCUCCAAGAGUGUGAGAAUACCUGACAUUUUAGCAAUUCAAACAUCAAUUAGUUCAACAGCUACUUGUCUCUUUUAAGUAAGAACAGAAUGCUAGUAUUAAUAUAUUCAGGCAUGUAUUUGCAUAGGAUGCGAUGAACAAGAUGGGAGCAUAAACAAUCAGUUGUCUUCAAAAUCACGUGGUAUAAAAAACAUAAAUUAAGAGAACUCUUUCCCACCAUUUUGGAGAUCCAUAUAAUUUGUCUGUGCUCCAUGAAUUAAAUUUAGCUUCACUCUUUUUUUUAUUCCCAGAUAUUUCAACAUGAUAGAAGCUAGACUCUUAUCAGGAGUGUGGUGAACCUUACAAGGUUCCAAGAUGAGGCAUAUAAUUGUGAUUCCAAAACAGAAAUGUGAUCUAAUAUAAGAGAUUUUCACCUUUUUCCACGAUUCUGGAAUGAGGAUUUCCUCAACCCAUGCUGGGCAAUCCUAAUGUGCAAUUGGCAUAGAAAUUGCACAUUCUGAACUUAAAAUCCCCAUCCCAUAGAAAUUGGAGUCCUAGUAGCAAGUUAAGUUGACAAUGAAGAGCAAAGUAUAAUGUCCAACAUGUGAUAGGUUUUGACUCUCCUCAGAUCUAGUAUAACAGUCCUGUGAGUCUGUUGCAUAUAACAGUUCUUCAUAAAAUGUACUAAUAUUUGAUUUAAAUAGUUUUACAGAGUCAGUUGUGUUCCAUCGUAUUCUUCAAAUAUACUGUGGUGUUUGUCAAUCUCUUAUUUCUCCUGUUUGUUCCUAUCUGCUUUGAAUUGCAUCUAUUUCCAAAACUCAUAAAAAAUUAAUGCAAAAUAGAAAUACCCACACAAAAAUGUGAGUACAUCACAAGCAAAGAGCAUGAAAUGAUCUAAAUAAGAAGUUUCAAACCCAUCAAAAUUUAAAAGUGAUGAUUGUUUCAAGGGGAUUGUGGUUCAUGCACAUGAUAACAGACAUCUGGCAUAAAAUAAGACAAGAUUACUAAUAGCUCAAGGAAGGGGUCCGCAGGAAAUUCUCAAAUAAAAGAUUAGUAAGAUAUAUAGAAUAAAUGCUUGUCUCUCGAUAAUCAAAGUCUGUGACUAUCGCAUUGAAGAGUCACUACUCUUUGUUGCCUUCUCAAUUAACAGAUAAUUACAACAUAGUAAAUCAUAUUUUGCAACAUAAGACUAUAUAUCAAUUCAGAAAUAUAGAAUGUACAUGUAUACAUGAGCAUGUAUGCACUUAAUUUUAUAUGUAUGUUUGAACAGAAAAAUAAAAAUAAAAAUUGAACAGGAAGAACUGACAAUUUGGGAGAAAGGUGCUUCCUGACAAUAACACUACAAGGAAGAGAUAUCUGAAGAAUGACCACAUCCUCAGCGACAAUGCCUGAAUGGCUUAAGAUGGGGACCUAAUACUUUCAUAAGCAAAGGUUUUGUCAACUUAAUUAUAUGUGUGAUAUGUUUACCUGCUUUUUAUGAUCUUUCCCACAUAAUUAUCAAGGCUCCAAUCACCAAAAAAGCCUCCCUGCAAAUGGCACUGGAUAGUCUCUAACAGCAAGCAAAUUUGCUUCACAAACUUUUGUUUUGUAGAUUCUUCAAUACUCAGUGAAACCCCUGAGCAAAGCAUCUCCUUCUAAACAAAAUCUGCUACUGAUUUCUAGAGCUUACUAAGGAAAAUUUUACAGCAAUGGGAGGCAAAACAUUGACUCCAGCUUAUUAGAAUGAUAAAGCAAUAGUGUACUAUGUGGAUAUGAAAAGGAGAUAAGGAUACUCUCUAACUAUAUUUUCUGAAGUCAAUCUGGUUGAUCUAGGGUCAGAUGCUUCACAGGGUGCAUCAAGAUUUUUGUGCUUUGCUGCCAAAUCCUUAGGCUCCUUUACUAGAAGUUUAAUUAGUUCAACAGCUUUAUCACCAUAAGGAUCAUCUAGUUUUACCUCAGCAUUCUGAUUCUGUGAUGUUUCCAUUUCAAACUUUCAAUAUAACCGGUGGAUAGACUAUUUCCUGCACCUGAGGAGUACUCCCUGAAGGCUUGGCUCACCAAUAAUCACCACAUGAACAAACACCAUUGUAGAAAUGGUGAAAACGAUUAGUAUCCCUGAUAGUGAUUUCACGCCCAACAAUCUUGGAAAUAAGCUUGGCAGCAAUAUGGCAAUCCCCACAAACACGAAGAUUCUUAGUAAUCCUAAUAGGUGAUCCAGGGGCAGUAUUUAGAAUAGCAAAGGCAAUAGCCAACUUCUCACUAUGAACUGCUAAGUGGCAUUCUUUAUCCUCCUCUUCGACAUCAUGAAGAGCAGAAUCUGUUUCAGGGACAUAGCCUGCUUCUUUCAUCUUCCCUACUGAUACAUCUAGCUCUUCAUAGAUCUGCUUGGACUGUGGAUGUGAUUGGUCACCAGCAAGAAAGGUGUGAACCCGAUUGUCAAGCUCGAAGUUGCUAACACCAGGCAUUUUCUUGAUUCCUUUAGUCUUCAUGAUUGAUCUGACUGUUGUUACAUCCUCCCAUCUACCUGCCUUUGCAUAAAUAUUGGAUAACAAGACAUAAUAGCCUGACUGCUCAGGACAUAAUUGGAAAAGUUGAUCAGCAGCAAGAAGCCCGAUUAUCAUGUUAGAAUACACCCUACAAGCACUCAACAAAGCCCCCCAAACUCUUUCAUUGGGUUCCAUUGGCAUCUGUUUGAUGAAACCAUAAGCCUCAUCUACUUGCCCUGCACGUCCUAACAGAUCUACCAUGCAAACAAAGUGUUCUAUCCGUGGAACUAUCUUACACUCCUCAGUCAUUAAUUUAAAGUAGUAUCUGCCCUCAUCCAAUAAUCCUGCAUGGCUGCAAGCUGAGAGAACUGAAACAAAGGCAAUGGAGUCGGGAUUCAGACCCAAGUCUUGCAUCCUUGAGAAGAGAGACACAGCAUCACGGCCCUUCCCAUUCAUACCAUAAGCUGAGAUCAUUGAAGUCCAUGACACAACAUCACGAAACUUCAUUUGAUCAAACACUUCCCUUGCAUACUCUAAACAUCCACACUUGGCAUACAUAUCAAUCAAGGCAUUCUCCAAUAGCAAAUUUGGCUGAAGCCUCUUCCUAACAACGUAUUCAUGAAUCCUCCUUCCAAGCAAUAGAGCUGACAGAUCCCCGCAAGCAGGAAGCACACUAGCAAUACUGAUUGCAUCAGGGUCCACCGCAUGAUCUUCCAUCUGUAAAAAUAUAUCAACCGCUUCAGCAGGCAUAGAAUUAUUCAUGUAAACUGCAAUCAUCACAUUCCAAGAAACCAAACUCUUAUUUGCCAACUUCAUGAACAUUUCCUUAACAAAUGAAACAUUGUCAAGACAUGUAUUAGUCACAGCAGGCAAGAGGCUAGCCAUUGUACCAGCAUCUGGUUUCAAACCCAACAACUCCAUUUCUUUGCAAACCUCUAAGGCAUCAUCAAAUUGCCCAUUCCGUGCACAACCGGCAACCAAUGAAUUCCAUGAAACAACAUCUCUACAAGGCAUUUGAUCAAGAACUCUACAAGCCUCCACCAAACAACCACAUUUCCCAUACAUGGAAAUUAACCCAUUCCCUACAAACACAUUCAAGUCAAGCCCAACUCUCACAACCGCAGCAUGAAUUUGCAUACCAACCCACAAAUCCUCUGACCCAGAAGAGGCUUUUAAGACACAAGGGUACGUAUAAUGGUCAGGAUCAAUCCCAUGGCCGGCCAUGUUCUUGAAAACAAGAAGAGCAUCACUGUACAAAUGGUUGUUCACAUAACUUCUUAUCAUAACAUUAAAGAAAACAACAUUCUUCUUAGGAAUUUCAUCGAAUAUGUGGCGAGUGGACCAGGGUUCUCCACAAACAGCAUAAGCUCUCAUCAAUUUGAUGCCAAGUGAUGGGUUUGAGUGAAGAUCAUGAUCAAUGCAAAUCUUGGAGUGGAGUUUUUUCAAAUAUUUGAUGUCUGGGUUCUUGUCCAGUAUUUGACCACACAAGUUUUCAGUAAGAACAACAUUCUGUUGGGUGAAUUUGGGUUUUUGGAUUGAUAAAACCAGGGUUUGUAACUGUUUCACAGCUGGGAAAUGGCGGUAAAGAGGAUUUAUUGCUGUCAUAAAUUUUGGAGUUUAGGCCUAAAAAUAUUUUCUACAAAAUUUUCAUGAAAUAUGAAAAUAUGUAUCAAAGGGAAACAAAUCGUACUGUAAUCUGGUAUGAUGACACAAGUUGCUCAAACAAGUUGGCCUUCCACAACACAAGAAAAUGAGACUCCAAGAAAGCAACUUGUAGCUAUUGUGAUCGAAACCACCACCUCAUUGAUCGUUGUUAUUACCUGCAUGGAUUUCCAGUUGGUCACAAAUUGCAUGGCAAGAAUGUGAAGACAAAGAAAUUAGUUGCACACAUCAUUCAAACUAAUACAGUUGAACCAACUACAGGGGUGACUACAUUUACCACUGAGGAAUAUGAUCAACGCAUGGCCUUGCCUUGGAGAGAGAAUGGCAAUAACCAAUCUUUUGCAAAUACCAUAGGUAUAAUCACAUCCAAUUGCAAUACUACUCAAUAUGGUUCACAUUCAACCUUAUAUUGGAUUGUGGAUAGUGGUGCGACAGAUCACAUAUCCAAGUCACCACUGACCCAAAAUAAAUUCGAUACUAAUCAUGAUUUUGUGGAAUUACCUGAUGGCGGUGAAGCAGAAAUUAAAUCCACUGGGUCUAUUAAGUUGUCACAUAACUUGAUUCUUGAUGGGGUGCUACAUGUUCCAAAAUUUCGAGUUAAUUUGUUAUCAAUUAGCAAACUUACUCAAGCAUUGAGAUGUAAUGUGAUAUUUUACCCUGAUUUUCAUGUGGUGUUUACGAAGAAGAUGAUUGGUCUGGACAAGCAACAUAACGGGUUGUACUAUCUUACACCCAACCAGAAUCCACACCUAGCUCAGUGUCAGUUGUACCUCAAAAAUUUGGCAUCAACAGCUGGGGCAUCCAUCAUCCAGAAGUAAUUUUUACUUCUCAGCAUGUUUGUGACAUUUGUCCACUAGCCAAACAAACCAGUUUACCAUUUUCCCACAGUUCAAUCUCAUUGGUUGCACCUUUUGAUUUAAUUCAUUGUGAUAUUUAGGAAUAAUUGUUAUUAUUAUUAUAAUUAUUAUUGCUACAAGAGGAGAACAAACCGCACAUUCCAUUAAACCUCCGUUCGGUCGCCGAGAAACCGCAGGAAAGGAAAACAAAUCGAAAUUCUCAGGUCGGAACACGAGAAAAACAAAGCACAACAAAGAAACCUGCAGUCAACUGCUCAGUCAGGGUUACUAUUUCACUUUUCAGAAACCAAGACAACACUAAACACAAGAUUCAAAAAAAUUUCACCAGUUUCCUCCGUUUUCUCGGGAGCCAAACAGAGACGGAAAAACAUAGAGAUGGGCGCCGGAUCUGAAUCACUGGUACUUGCCUUUAGAAAUGGUGGAUUUCAAGGGCUGGAGAGGCACUUCGAAAACGGCGUCGUUUCGAGAGAGAGGAGAAAACUAGGGUUUCUAGUGUGCCAGCAAAAGCAAAGAGAGAGACGUUGAGAAAGUGCGGUAAGUUGAAGGCUAUCAAUGGGCUACACUCCUCUGCACCUGCCACUCUCUCCGAUUGCUACAAUCGGCUCCCAUCUUUCACUUACAAUAUUUUUAGGAUUAGUUUUUCACGACUAACAUUAUAAAUAUAUAAAUUAUAUAUUAUUAAAAUUAAAAAUAAUUAUAAAAUUUUUAUAAAUAAUUAAGAUUUUAAAUACAUUUCAAUAUUUUAUUAUUAAUACUAACAAUUUAAAUUAUAAUAAGAUAACAUGAAGAUUUAUUAAAUUAUUAAUAUUUCUAAUUCUAUUAAAUAUAUUAAAAUUUUAAUUAUUAAGAUAAAAUAAGAUUUUAUUAUUUAAAGUAACUUAAAUUAUAAUAAUUAUGUAGUUUAUUGUUUUCAAAAUUAUUAAUUAUUUUAUUUAUUAUCGUAUAAUAUAUUGAUAAAUUAUAAUUAUUUAUAACAAUUUUGAAGAUUUUGAAUAAUGUAUAUAUAAUUUAAAUGGCUUUUAAUUAAAAAAGCCAUUAAACAUUGAAAUCAUUUUACAGACAUUUGCUAAAUCAGACAAGUGACAGAAAGUGUACAAAUCUGAUGACCUUCAUCAUCUAAUCCUGGUCCAGGUUAACUUCCAUGCAAGCAUGUACCUGAAAGCUAGUUGUUAUAACUUAUAAAGCCUGUAUGUAUCAUCUUCAUGAAAAACUAUGUGCAAGCAGCCAUUAAUGGGGCUGCCUCAAGCAAUGAUUGUCACCGGUCAUCCUGAAACAAAGCUUUUGAGACUGAGCUGGAGUGAGUCCCAUGAUCUUGGGGGUCGUUGUCAUCACUACUGCUUCUUCUUGGGAGUGACCGUUUCUUCGAGGACAAUGGGGUCUCACAUACCAUGUCAUAGCUUGCCCUACGACGGUCCUUCCUUUUUGAUUGCUUCCUAUAGGAGUCUGACUUAGGUUUCAUUGCAUUUGGUUGCUUGGGGGCCCAAACUCUCUGCAAAUCUGGCACCCAGCUUGUGAAAGAUGCAAAUCUCCGAGCCCUCUCUCUCCUCUCACGAGCUUCAAUCAACCUACGGGCAUGCUCCUCUCCCUUAUUCCCUGUAGGGAUGCCAUUGUCGUCUUCUAGUGGUUGAGAUGACUCGUUUUCUGCAGAGAUGAGUUCGUUUGCUCUUUCACUGUCACCUAUCUCGUCUCUAUCUGGUUUAUCUCUCCAGGACUGGUUGCUGUCCUCACUGUUGAGUAAGGGAUUGGGGGAUUCAUCCUCAUCACCAAACAGCAACAAGUCCAUUCGAGUAUAAAUUUUAUGGACUAUAUCUCCAAGAGUGUGAGAAUACCUGCCAUUUUAGCGAUUCAGGCAAGUAUAUGCAUAGCAUAUGAUGAAUAAGACAUGAGCAUAAACAAUCAUCUUCAAAAAUCAAGUGCUAUAAAAAAAUAAAUAAAUAAAGAGAACUCCUUUCCACCAUUUUGGAGAUCCAUAUAAUUUGUCUAUGCUGCAUGAAUUGAAUUUAUCUUCACUUUUCUUUUUCCUUUUUUAUUCUUGAAUAUUUCAACAUGUAGAAGCUAGACCCUUACCAAGAGUGUGGUGAACCUUACAAGGUUCCAAGAUGAGGCAUAGAAUUGUGGUUCCAAAACAGAAAUGUGACCUAAUAUAAGAGAUUUUCACCUUUUUCCACUUAUCUGGAAUAAGGAUUUCCUCAAUCCAGUUUUGGCAUUCCCAGUGUGCAAUUGGCAAGUAUAUUUCUAGGCUGCUACAUGGAGCGACAAGCUUCUUCAUUAUUCUGAACUUAAAAGCUCCUUUGCAAAGCAAAUGGGGUCCUAGUGGCAGGUUAGGUUGACAAUAAAGAGCAAAAGUAUAAUGUCCAAUACAUGUUAGGUUUUGACUCUCAUCAGAUCUGGUACAACAGUCCAGUAAGUAUGUUGCAUAUAACAGUUCUUCAUAAUUUAAACUGUCUUACAAAGUCAGCUGUGUUCCAUCAUUAUUCUUCAAAUAUACUGUGAGGUAUGUUAGUCUCUUAUUUCUCAUGUUUCUUCCUAUCUGCUUUGAAUUGCAUCAAUUUCCAACACUCAUAAAAAAUUAAUGCAAAAGAGCAAUACCCACAAAAGAAUGUGAGUAUAUCACAAGCAAAGAGCAUGAAAUGAUCUAAAUCAAAAGUUUCAAGUCCAUCAAAAUUUAAAAGUGAUUAUUGUUCAAGGGGAUUGCUGUUCAUGCACAUGAUAACAGACAUCUAGCAUAAAAUAAGACCAAGGUGACUUAUAGCUCAAGGAAGGUGUCCAAAGGAAAUUCUCAUACAAAAGACUGGUAAGAUAUAUAAUGCUCCUCUCUUGAUAAUCAGAGUUUGUGACUAUUGCAUUGAAGCCUCUUACUGUUGUCUAGAGUGACUAUUCUUUGCUGCCUUCUCAAUCAACAGACAAUUACAACUUAGUAAAUCAUAUUUUGUAACUUACAACUAUAUAUCGAUUCACAAGUAAUGAAUGCACAUAUGUACAUAAGCAUGUAUGCACUUAAUUUUAUGUGUGUUUGAACUGAAAAAUAAAAAUAAAAACUGAAAAAGGAGCACUGACAAUUUGGGAGAAAGGUGCUCCUGACAAUAACACUACGAGGAAGAGAUAUCUAAAGAAUGACCACAUCCUCGGGGAAAAAGCCUGGGUAGCAUAAGAUGGGGAUCUAAUAAUAGUUUUAUAAGCAAAGGUAUUGUCAACUUAGUUAUAUGAGUGAUAUGUUUACCUGCUUUUUAUGAUCUUUCCCACAUAAUUAUCAAGGCUCCAAUCACCAAAAAAGCCUCCCUCCAUAUGGCACUGGAUAGUCUCUAAAAGCAAGCAAAUUUGCUUCACAAACUUUUGUUUUGUAGACUCUUCAAUACUCUGUGUGACUCCUGAGCAAAGUAUCUCCAUUCUAAACAAAAUCUGCAACUGAUAUCUAGAGCUUAUUAAGGAAAAUGUUACAGUAAUAGGAGGCAAACAAUUGACUCCAGCUUAUUAGAAUGAUAAAGCAAUAGUGUGCUAUAUGUGAAUGUGAAAAAGAGAUAAGGAUACUCUCUAACUAUUUUUUCUGAAGUCAAUCUGGUUGAUCUUGGAUCAGAUGAUUCACAGGGUGGAUCAUUGUUUUUGUGCUUUGCUGCCAAAUCCUUAGGCUCCUUUACUAGAAGUUUAAUUAGUUCAACAACAGCUUUACUACCAUAAGGAUCAUCUACUUUUUGCUCAGCAUUUUGACUCUCUGAUGUUUCCAUUUCAAACUUUUGAUGUAACCAGUGGAUAGACGAGCUCACAAGUCGCUCUGCCAAAGCCCCCAAGUCCACCCCUUCAGAUUCAAUUCCCUCCUGUAUCUUUCCUGAAAGAACACUGAAAAAAGCUUCUGAAGUUUCUGAGCAAAAAUCAAGAGCAGCUUCAUCCUGUAUUCUAGAAGGCCCAGUCAAAACAUCCUCUUGAGCUGAUACAGAUAGAGAGAUUGGCUGUUCGCUUUCUUGGUGCAACACUGUCAGCCUCUCUUGGGUUUCUUUUGGAAUAUCCUGAUGUAGCUGGGACCCAUCUGGUAUGAUUAUGCUACAACUCAAUUUCUUAAUCUGUUUCAUCCAGCAUUUAAGAAAUUUCAACUUCUUUGUGUUCUUACCUUCCUUGGCAAAGUAAAUCUCUCCUAUUUCCAUCUCACUGUGCUCAAAGGCUGCCUUGCAGAAGGAGCUCCAUGCAAGAGGCUGAUGCAAAUGGGAAUGCUUUUUAUUCAUUUUUUGUUUGCCACUUCCUGGAGCCCCGGAUUCCUGAGAUGAAAAAUGCCCACUUUGAGAGUCAAUAAUCCCAUUUGAUGCAUUCAUAUCAUCACUGUGUUUGCAAACUUCACGGCUUCUCUGUGUAACAAACUGGCCCACCUUUGGUCCACAGAAACCAUCUACCAUGUUUUGAGGGUAGAAUUCAUUAUCUAUAGUAGAAAGUAGACCCGAAUGAACAGUAAAAGGCUUGAGAAUUCCCAUGCAUGAAUCCCCAUUGCCAUUCGAUAGAGACACCAAGGCCCAGUAGCCCUCCUUAAAGAGAAAACUCAGAAGUAUUUGCCAGAAGGGUUCACAUUUUCUCUGCAUCAACUCUCCUGUUUCAGUUGCUAGAAUUUCAAGAACCCUAUCUGCAAAAAAAUCACCUGAACUUUCCUUUUUAUCUUUCCAUGAUUCCCCAGAGAAUCCACGCACUAGAAUGGGGUCAGACAAGCAUCCCAUAAUUUUCACACAUUCAUCAUAUUUCUGCACUGCCUUAACAUGGAUUUUUGUUAUUCCUUCACUAAAAUGCCCCCAAAAUGUUUUUCCUUCAUCGCAACCUAUACUUUGCGAAUAUGUAGGUUCUGAUGUAUGCAAAACAUUCUCACAUCUAUGCCUAGGUAACAUCUUCAAAUUGAUCAAAUCAAGGUCACAACAUUUCCAUUCCAAAGGUUUCCCACUUACAUCUGAGAUCUCAAGAGUCAAUUGUCCAUGAAUUACCUUACAAAAAUUACUACAAUUGAAAGGACUAGUCGAAAUCCCAAUCCUUGGAUAAAUUAACCCAAAAGGAACAAGAGCAGAACCCAGAAUAAUUGUAUCAGUUGAAGAAAAGCCCCAGCCCAAGUUCUUGAUCCCAUGCUUAAAAAACCCUAUAUCCAACUCAGGUUCAUUGGAUUCAUUAGUCUCACCCUUUCCUUCACCACAUGCUAAUCUGUGCCUAACAUCAACCCAAGUGAAAUGAAUAUCUCUACUAACAAAUGCAUCAUUCGCACUAUCAAAAAAUCCACAAAAUUUCCUAGAGAAUGCAUCUACAUUGGUUAAUAAUUCAUCCUCCACUUCCACACUCACAAACUCAGAUACCCAUUUCAAAGAUCUAUAAAUUGGUGAAAACAAAACAAUCAAAUUCGACCUAACAACAGGGAAACGAUCAUGAUCAUGGUUCGGCUUACCUAGAAUAUCAUGAACCUGCUGCUCCCACGAAUAAUCAUGCACAAGCUGAAUCAUAGAUUCAGCAAUAUGAGAAGCCCGUGAUGGAGCCGAAUCUGAUAAUUCACAAGCCGAAGAGAGAGAAUCCAAUGUUUUGGAAAGGGAAACAAGGGUUUCAGGCGGGUGGUCGAAGGAGAAGGCCGCGGCGGAUUUACCCAGGAGGCGAUGGAGCUUAGAGGAGGAGAGAAAAGGUGAAAGAGAGGAGAAGAAGAGCUUGAAGGUGAAGAGAGAGGAUGAAAGCGAGGAAAAGGAGAGUAGGGUUUGGGCAGAGGUGAGGAUUGUGUAGAGGUAGGGGCUAGGGUUUUGGAGUUGGAGUAGAGGGUUCAGGUCUAUAAGGAGGACUAUGCGCUGCGUUUGUGAGAAAUCUAGGGCUUCUGCCAUAUCGUUCUGCAGAGGGACUGGGCUAAGGCGCGCCGGAGAAGACGAGCGCCCUCACAGUUGCUGAAUUUCGCGAUCGGACUCUGGAUGGAACACGGAGGUGUUGGCUGUAGAUGGAGAAGACUAACGUGCGCCGACUGGAUGAAUUCUGUGAAGAUAGUCGGAAUGAUGCUAAUCCCAGUGCCGUCGAAAGAACAGAGAGAGAAGGAAGCGUUGACUGUAUGGAGCAGGCUAACGUGCGCCAGGGAGAUGGAUGUUGCAGAUCAGCUGAGAGUCUGAGAUAGAAUCUUCAGUCUUGAAGAUCGAACAGAGGGAGAUGAAUGUUCUCCAGAUGGAGCAGGCUAACGUGCGCCGUCAGAGAUGGAUGCCAAAGGUCGUUUGGAUAGAUAUGAGAGUGCCAGAGCUCGAGAUGGAACUUUGAAUGCUGUUUGAUUGGCGGGAAAGCAGAAAUGGCGGACGGAAAUUUUCAGCUGACAAAGUGACAAUAAAAAAAAAAUAAAAAAUGCCUCUGGUGUGAUCACCUGGGCCGAAGCUCUCGGCCCAAUAAUGCAAAAGCCCACAAAUCCACAGGCUAGCCCAACCCCUACGCUACGGGCUUAUCUCACAUGUUCUGAUGUUCAAGCCCUAAAUGGCCCACCAACUUCUUAUUGUGUCUAAGAUGACGUUUGUUUUUUAAUCCAAAGUCAGAAAAAAAAUCUGAAAUUUUCUAAUAAAUGAAGAUGAAAAAAAAUAUAUAUAUAAUAUAAAUUAAUUUGCAAAAAGAAAAAAAUUAACCACUUUUAACAUUUACUAUAAUUUUUUUUUUUUUUGGUGAAAUCCAAUUUAUAUUAAAAAUAAGUGUACCAAGCAAAAACGUCAUUGGUUUUUCCCAUUUAACACUCAGAACGACGUCGUUUUAGUCUUACCGUUCGUCUCUUCCUUCUCGAACGUUCUUCCGUUUGCCAGCCAGACCACCCUCAAAUCAAAGAUGAAGAUAACGAACUGAGCUUUUCUCCCUCCAAAUCACCAAAAAAUUUCUGAAAAUUCGCAAGAAAAUUCUAUUCAAAAUAAAUAAAUAAAAAUUCAAAAACAAUGUCCACCAUUUCUGUAUCCAAGUUCAUUAGCGUUGAUACCACAUUGUUUUCCCCAAAAUCUUCAACUAUAAACCCUUGUUUUUUCCCCAAAUUCCCUCCAAAUUCCAAACCCAGAAAAUCCCUAACGCUAGUUUUCUCAAGCUCCUCUGGCGCAGAGCUCUCCUCUGCUGCAGAAGAUGAGUGGCUCAAGAAGCUUCCGGAGAAGAAGAAGCCCCUGUACUCUCACAGUCUUCCUUGUGUGGAGGCGUGGUUGAGGAAUCUAGGGUUUUUCCAGAGCAAAGAGGAUCGAGCCAUUUGGUUCGUGGAAAAGCCUGAGUGGCACGCCCAGCUCUCGCUCGAUGUCACCGAUCUCUAUAUCAGGUUUUUGGUUGUUUUGUGAUAUGGGUUCGGAUUAUUUCAUUGAAUAGAUUCAUGGUAUUGAAGUUGCUAUAGUUGAAUUUGGAAAAUUUUAAAUAAUUUGGCGAAAUUUUGCAGAAUAUUUUUUAAACUGGAUUUCUGAAUAAUCUGUCUGCUUUUAGUCCACCCAUAUAUAUAUAGCCUGGAUAUUAUCAAUUAGUCCGAUUGCUUGCUGAAUUGCAACUUGCAUGAGAACAGAUUGGAGAAGUUAGAAGUGAAUUUUCAAUCGAAAUAGGCUUAAAAUAAGGCUUGAAAUCAAGCUCCUCGAUGUUUGGAUUCUUUGCAAAUGAACAGAUGGGCUAUUUUGGAAGAGGUUUCUUGAUGCAUGUUGGUGGUGAGGAAAAUAAUUUUAAUUGAAUAGGAAUAAGCAUAGAACUGUAAAUGAGAAUGUUGUUGGUGUUUUGAUAUUGAAAGGUUACAAAACUGCCUUUUGGUUAAUUUGGAAAAGAGAUCCCCCCUAGGAAGCCAUUUUCUCUUGCAAUUUCUUGGCUGAAAUUCAAGGUCAUCUUCACUGUUGGAAAGGCAUGUAUAAACAAAAGAGUACUGCUAAAUAACAUGAAUGAAUUCUCCAAUUGACUUCUUCAAAUAGAUAUAGAUGAUAAUUAUCCAUGUGUUAUUUAGCAUUUUCCUAAAGAAAGAACUUGGAUUGGAAACCUUGGCAUGUAUCAUUUCUCGGCUUGGGUCCUCAUGUGUGCAACUGUGCUCGUGCAUGUGUAUGUGGUGGAGGGGUGUAGGCGGGUUCAGUUGCACAAUUUUUUGGUUGAUGUUUUUUUUUGAUAAAUAUCGCAAAUAUAUUAAAGGGCAAAGGCCACCAAGCAUACAGGACGUAUACAAAUCUGCCUCAAAACGAGAGCACAAAAACAAAGACCCUUACCCUCCCUUAAGUGGUUGCUAGCCACUCAAAAAAACCUAAGAGUGAAGAGGACUCCUCUCCAAUAUACACCCUAGCCCAACUCCACAAGGUACAAACAAAAGAAUUUUUGAGUUUCUGUAUAUUUAACACCCCUCCCUUGAACGCUAACCUAUUUCUUUCCUUCCAUACCGUCCAAAAAAUACACAACGGGAUAGAAUUCCAAAUUUUUUUCCUCGUUUUCCCCACAAAGGGACCCCUCCAACUGAAUAAAGCCUCCUUCACCAGCUCUGGGAACACCCAAUGAACCCCCACAAGGGUAAAAACAAUAUCCCAUAAGGCCCUUACCACUGUACAAUGAAGAAGAAUGUGAUUUACACUCUCCUCUUCACAACCACACAAAAAACAACGGUUAGGGAACUGCCAGCCCCGUUUUUGAAGCCUAUCCAAGGUGAGAAUUUUCCCCCACGCAGCUUCCCAAGCAAAGAAAUUCACUUUAAUAGGGACCUUGUUCACCCAAACGCCUCUAUACGGAAAGUCGCAGGCAUUGAUAGCAAUCAGCCCGUUAUAGGCAUCCUUUACCCCAUAUUUCCCAUGCCCCCCCCUUUCCAAAGCACCCCGUCCUCCUCUGAAGAGGGCUUGAAGUCCCUGAGCAUAAUAAGCAAUCCUCUAAUCAAGUCCAGCUCCCAAUCAUUGAAGUCUCUAUGAAAUCUAAGAUUCCAGCCACCUGGACCACUGCUAUGGUCCCACAUCUCAUUAACCAUUGCAUUCUUGUUGACCGCCAUCUCAUAAAGCUGGGGAAAAGCAUGGGACAACCUCU
rnacentral:lncRNA from 1 species